rnacentral:lncRNA from 1 species
CAUAACCAACCAAAUAUCCAUCAAAACAUCCAACCCGUAUCAACCCUAAUACUAAUACCAAUUCUAAGGUUGACACCAAUACUGACCCCGCCCAUGCCUAUAGUAGUCACGCAAAUACUCUAACUAAAAUUCAAGAACAUACGAUCGGGACAUGACCCCAACAUUGCCAAAACCAAAGUCCAUGAAAUAACAAAAAGUAUAAAAAGAAUUCCAUAGCAUAAAAUUGAGUCUUCCAGAGUAUGGAAGCUCACCACUUCAGUCUAACAUGAAUGUUGUCCUCGAAUCUAAGUCACUCAGCAGGAGCAGUAGUAUGGAUGAUUCCUGCAUUGCAUGGGGAUACAACAUUGGAAGAUGUUAGCGGGUGAAUGAUAGUAUGUAUCAAGAUACGGAUAAUAUAAUGCCAUUAUUUAAAACCUAAUUAAAUAACCAUAUACAGUCACAUACAUACAUAUAUAUACCAUGUCGAGAAAGGGACUUGGUUUAGGAUGAUUUAAAACUUUUACCUGGGUUUGUGUAGCUUUACCAUCAUAAUCCACCAAUGGGCUAUAUGGGUCCAGUGUUACCCCUUGAACAGGCCCUAAUGCGUGUAACCGCAUGAACCAAAGAUAUCAUAGGGGUUGGGGAUUCCCGUAUUCCCUUCGACAUCCAUGAUACAUAUAUAAAAUUAUAAACUUAGAAGAUUUCUGUGUACCCCGUAAGUAUAUAGUUACCAUGACCAACCCUUAUAUCAGCAAACAUGAGUUUCUAGUGUUCGUCCAUCAAACUCACUACUUUACGGAUAGCUAUCACAACUCGCCAUUAUCGCCCAAUUAAAAACAUUAGUGCAUAACCAAACCACCAAUUCCAGAAGUUAUUUACCAAGGAAUUAUGAAGUGGUAUCUUAUACUGACUAUAUCUUGCAAGCAAUGUCAUUAGCCAACACUUAGGGGAUUUUCAUUUACCCUACGAGAUUUCCAAUUAAACCAAAACUAUGGCCAUCAAGUACUUUCCAAACCAUUUAAAACCAACGAAAAAAUUAGAUUCCAUUACCAUAUUAUGCAAUGCAAAGUUUUCAAUAAUAGUCAAACUAUGUGACAAAACCAUUCUUAUAGGCAUUUUAACAAACAUGUUGAGGAAAUAUAGUUUCCAAAACCAAAACCAUGUAUCAAUUGACCAUCUCCGUGCAAUUACAUGUUCAAAAUCAUAAAUAUAACAUGAAAAUCAUAAGUAAAACAUAGGAAAGCAUUAUCAAACCAUAAACAAUCAAAAUCCCCAACUUAUAUCUCAAAACCCUAAAUAAUGCCGCAGCAAUACCAUGAAAAUCAUUCAUUAAAACAUGCCUUUAGUUGAACUAACAAUGAGAGAUGAUUAACAUGACUUAGGCAAUGAGAAAGAUGAAGAGAAACCACCACUUUAGAGCCUUAAUUGAUUGCUUUGAAGAAAACCCUUGCCUUUUUUGAACCAAGAGUUUGAGAGUAUUUAAAGAGUGUUUUUUUAAAUAAGAAUAAUAGGUUAAUGAAACCUCCAAAGGUUUUUUAUAUCGUGGGGUCAAAAGGAUUUAUUAGGGGGAAAUGUCCAUAGUAACCCCAAUUUAAACUAUAAAAAUUUCCACAGGUGGGUAUGGUUUGGACCCCUUACUCAUAGCCACAUCAUAUGAGUGGUACCUUCCACUCAUACCUUGAUCAGAAAGUUGGAAAUCAUAUUCUGUCCAACAUAUGAAUCCUUAGCCUAAUUCAUACCCUAACCAUCCAACUAGUACCCUUCUAGUUAUACCCUAAGUAGAAAUAUCCAGGUUAGACACUAGACAAUAUAUAGUUGGACCCUUCCUCUCAGAUCAUGUACACAUAAUGCGUAUGGAGUCUUCUCAUAUUAAGAAGAGAACUUUGUAAACAUUACACUGACCUACAUACAAAUAGGAUCCCUAGAUUUGUAAUCAUACCGUACGGCUAGUAUGGUGAGUUUUAUGAUCUAUAGAAGGCUCAAAACCCAAGGUGUUUCAAUAUUUAUAAGACAAUGUGGCUGGAACUAUUGAAAGACUAUGAUAUAUGUAUGUUGUAUCACCUGGUAAGGCUGAUAUUUUGGCCGAUGCCCUUAUUAGACUGUCUUUCUGGAGUGUUGCUCACGUGGAGAAUAAUAAUGAGUUGGUUUAAGAGGUAUCAUCUUACUAGAUUGCGAUUUCAAUUGAUUGAUUCAUCCAAAGGGAGUGUUUGGGUUUAAAAUGGCUUAGAGUUUGCAUUGGUUUUUUAUGUGAAGGAAAAACAAGACAGAGAUCCUAUUUUGGUUAAGCUAAGAGAAGUAGUUUGGGAUUUAAAGGUUGACAUUUUCUCCCAAGAGGGAGAUGGUGUACUUCAUUGUCAGAGAAGGUUAUGCGUUCCAAAAAUGGAUGAUGUAAGGUAAUAAAUAUUAAAAUAGACACAUGUUUUGCAAUAUUCUAUUCACCCAGGAGCCAAUAAAAUGUACCAUGAUUUGCGGGAAGUCUAUUGGUGGAAAGGUAUGAAGAAAGAUCUAAUGGAAUUUGUGGCUAAGUGUCCAAAUUGACAGCAAGUUAAGGUUGAUCAACAAAUACCUAGUGGUACACUUUAGGAGUUCAGCAUCCCCACUUGUAAGUAGAAAGUGGUGAAUAUGGACUUUGUUAUAAGGUUCCCUUAUACACGUCAUCGACAUGAUUUUAUUUGGGUCACUGUGGAUAGAAUGACUAAGUUGGCCCAUUUCUUGCCAGUCAAUACAUCAAAUUCAGGUGAGGUACCCAGUUUCAGGGAUUGGCUGAAGUUACAUGAAGCCCCAUUGACCAUUAUUUCAGAUAGAGGAGCCCAGUUUACCUCUUAGUUUUGGAAGGCUUUUCAGAAAGGUCUUGGUACCCAAGAUCAUCUUAGUACGGGUUUUCACCCCCUGACAGAUGGUCAGGAAGAUAAGACCAUUUAGAUGUUAGAAGACAUGUUGAGGGCUUGUGUUAUUGAAUUUAAGGGUAGUUGGGAUGAUCACUUGCAUUUUAUUGAGUUUACCUACAAUAAUAACUAUCACUCCAGUAUUUAGAUGGCUCUAUUUAAGGCUCUCUAUGGUAGGAGGUGUAGAUAUUCUAUUGGUUGGUUUAAGGUUGGUGAAGCUACUUUUAUAAGGCCAUAUUUAGUGCAUGAAAAGAUGGAAAAUAUUCAAUUUAUUAGAGAGAUGUUGAAGACAGCCCAGAGUCAAUAUAAAUCCAAUGCAAAUGUGAAGAGAAGGAGCUUGAAUUUCAUAUUGGUGACUUGGUAUAUUUGAAAAUUUUUCCUAUGAAAGGGGUGAAAAGGUUUGGGAAGAAAGGGAAGAUCAGUCCCUGCUAUGUUGUCCCAUAUAUGAUUUUGGACCUUUGGGAAGGUAGCCUAUGAAUUAGAGUUACCUGUAGAGUUGACAUCAUUGCGUCAAGUGUUUCAUGUCUCUAUUCUAAAGAAAUGCAUUGGUAAUACAACUUUAGUAGUUUCAUUAGAAAUUAUGGGCAUAAAAGAUAAAAGUUCCAGUUGAGAUCCUCAAUCAUCAUAUUCGUACAUUGAGAAAUAAAGAAGUUUCCUUAGUAAAUGUUCUAUGGAGAAAUCAGUCAGUUGAGGGAGCUACUUUGGAAGAAGAAGCCGAUAUGCGGGCCAAGUACCCCUAUAUUUUAUUUUCAAACCCAGUUCUAUCUUGAGGUAAUAGUUUUCUUAAUUAAUUAAUUCUUUUAUUUCUAUCCCAGUCUAUCCAACAAAAAUCCCCAUCUCAUAGCAUGCAGUCAUGUGUUCAUUUCAGUCCAUGUAUCAUGUCUCAGAUUUAGGUAUUUACUCGUGUUUCAACUCUUAAAUGUUUAGUGCAAAACCUCGAUAUUUUCCCUCAUGAUUUAUCUUAUUCAGUUUUAUUCGGGGACGAAUGAUCCCAAGGGGGAGAUAUUGUACUACCCUAAGAUUCCAAUCUCUAGAUCCAUCAAAAGAUAGGCCAUUGAGUUUUCUUUCCAAUACUACAAGCCUCACCUUAAUCAGAUAUCAUGGAAAAAAUCUAUGCAAAUUUUCCUCUAGUGUCAGUCUACUUCCAGUGAAUAUGACUCACCUAACAACCAAUCACCAGACGUAACGAGUCAUUAGGAGUAGUCAUCAUAAAAUAGUAGGGAUCCCCCAGCUUAUCCCAGUGACGAUGUGUCUACCCUAUGACUCGUAAUCAGUGACUAAGAAUCAUUAGAGAGGACUUUUAGUCACGACUGUGUAUAGACAAGAACCUAGUACAGUGGUAGUGAGUCCAGCACACGACUCAUAAUCAGACAUUAUGAGUCAUUGUGUUGACCCGUAACCUAACUAAUAAAAGAUUCAAAAAUCAAGUCUUAGACUACGAAUCCAUCUAACGAAUCCUAUUCAGUUGUAACAAGUCAUUAGGAGGGAAGUCAUAGUCAUAGAAGAAAGGACCUAGGUCUUAGGAUCUUAAAAGACUAAUACAAUGACUGGUAACCAGUCGUGAUGAGUCGUAGGGUUAGUCGCAAUGACUAGAACAAAAAUAUCUGCAUGAUUUUUAAGGACUUUAAAGUCCUUUCCCACUCUUUUAAAAUCCAAACCCACAUCGUUUUUUGCUUCUUAAAGGGUGGUAUAAAAGGCCUAAACUCCCCAAAUCCAUGAAUUAAUCAAUUUCCACCUAGAGUAGUUACAAGGGGCAGUUCUUCCCUUCUCCAAAGAGGCAACUAGUGACACGACCCAAAAUCGGGCCUUGUCGUAUGGGUAUCUCAAGCCCAACUUAGAUCAUAUAUCUCUUUGUUAACCCAACCUAACCAUCACACCAAACCACAAGUAUCGGAUGAACUUUGACUAUAUAAUCAAGAUAGCGGAAACAUAUCUAAUAAUCAGGACUUAGACAAUUUAUAAACAUUUCAUUCAUAUCGACAUACUACCAACGUACCUAAGUCCACAGUCAUCCACAAUGCUUCUGCACAAAUCUAAAGUCAAUAUAUAUACACGUCAGGACAUGCCCCCGACAAUAGGCAAAACCAAAUCCAAGACAAGUCUAUGACAUAAGAUAAGGACUAUGAAAUGAAUGACUUUGAAAGUAUUGAAGCUUACUACUUCUAUGUCAACCACAUGAUCCACUAGAACACCUGUCACUACGCAGGAAGAGAAGAAGAUGCUUCGAUCCCUAGCAUCCGGAGAUUGUUAGCGGUUGGAGCACUAGUAUGUAACUCAAGGAUAAAGAUAAAAUAUCAUCAUCAUUCAAUAUCAAGUUAUAACAUCAUAUUCAACCAUAUUUAUAUACAUAAGCAUAAAUAUAGCUAUAGAACAUGCUAAUCAAAGGAACAAGGCUAAAUAACAUUCAUAAGGCAUUUAAUUAUAAGACAUGAAGUGGAGGACUCCGACUUUCCUCACUUAUAGAUUCAACUGUUUCUUAUUCGGCGAGGGACUUUAACCACACGCACACAUUAAUUAGUAAAGGAACUUUAACCACAUGCACACAUUCAUUAAUCAAGGGACUUUAACCACAUACACAUAUUCAUUAAGAAAGGGACUUUAACCACAUGAACACAUUCAUUAAACAAGGGACUUUAAUCAUAAGACAUUUAAUUGGGAAAGGGACUCUAACCUCAAGCCAUUUCAUUGGUCAAGGGACUCUAACCUCAAGCCAUAUUAGAUAGGGGACUCUAACCCCAAGCUGACGUAUUUAAGCAAGGGACUCUAACCUCUUGUAUAUUCAUUAGGCAAAGGACUUUAACCACAAGCUGUCGUGACUAUCAUUAGUUGACAUUCGGACUUUAACCCUUUGUACCUACAUCAACACACAUUCUAUUCAACACUUAUGGACUCUAACCCAUUUAACAAAUUAAACAUCAUAUAUGAUCACAAGAUCUCAUGGGGCAUUUAUCAAUCAAUCACUCAGAUAGGCUAAUGCCUUGACAAUUUCAUGACUCAAUUCCAUUUAUGGUCAUCUAGAACGUUACAACCCAUUCAUUCCUCAUUAGCAAACUCAUACCACACUUUAGUUCAAACACAAUUCAAAUUCAUAUUUAGGGACUUUAACCCCUUUUAGUCCAUCAACCAACAAGGUCAUAAAUUAACACAUUACAUGGCUAAAAAUAUAUUUACAAUACCAUUUAUCAAUUAUUCAUAUCCAUUGGUCUAUUUCCCUAGUUCAAAACGUCAUCAACAUUUGACUAGACAUUUUCAUAAACACCUUUUGUGCAAACCUUUAUCAAGACUAAAUUUAUGGUAGAAUUCAUCAAUAUUAGGGUUAAUCAAGACCCUUUUGUUAAACCACAAACAAUAAACACCCAUACAUGAAAAUCAUCACCAAUGACAUAUAUAAACACAAGUCUAAGAAAGAACCAACAUUAUUCAUCAUUACGCAACAAAACCCAUAUAAUUUAAUUUCAAAAUCACCAUUUACAAUUAUUAAUCCAUUUGUAAAAUUCAUGGUUUUGGAGUUAUUUAAUAAAGGAGAGAGGCACAUGCCUUAAAAAAGAUGAUCCACCAAGAAACUUGACUUCACUUUGGUUCUAGAUGAACACCCUUGGAACCCUAGCCUCCAAUUCUUCAAAAAUGUAUUUGAUAGGGUAUUUGGAGUAUUUAAUCCACCAAAAUAAAUGUUUAGGAGGCCACAAUGCAUUAUAUAGUGAGGGGUAUUUAGGAUUUUGGGGUGGGAAAUGACCAGAGGGCCCUUAACUUAUAAGCUGGAAAAUGAUCCCGAGUUAGGGUAUGACUCACUUAAGUCAAUUGUACCCUAGGGUACGAGUAGUACCCUAAAUUGUACCCUAGUCUUCACCUAGGACUCAUACACUACUCAAGGUAUGACCAUACACCCUAAACUUAUAUUCAAAGGGUACUACUUGUACCCUAAACUGUACCCUUGACUCAUACCAAAAAUAGUCCACUCUAGACCAAGAUAACCCUCCAUACGACUAAAUUGUGUAUUACUCAUACACUAAGAUAUGACCAGGAGAGUACAAGUCAUAUUGUGGACAAUAUGCUACCCUCCUAUGCUUUCAACAUACUAGAGGAGGAGGGUAUAUGGAUACGACUUGUACACUAGUGUACGACUGACACACCUAAACCAUAUCUUGGUCAGAAUGUGCAAUUCCUGAGAUUUUUCUAAGGGUCUAAAGCCAAGGUGUUUCAACUAGGGUUAUUUAAGUUCAAGCUCAACUCUAAAUAAUUCCUCCAAGGCUUUUACUCUCAGGUAUGUGGGAUUUCAUCAGUGGAUCCCUUCUACCUACUAAGUCCCAAGAACUCUCUAACUUUACAAGUACAAUUCCCUUUCCCUUUAUUUGGGUUCUAGGUCAAAUAUGAACAAUUGGAAGUCAUGAACUUAUACAUGAAUGGGAACAUAUGAUAACAUGUCAUGAAUAUACUAUUCAAUUCACCUGGACAUUCUAUCAAACACUUGGGGAGCAUGAUUGUGACACAUGAAAAAUAAUAUAUAGGGCAUCAUACUACAAUAUGAAACUUGCAAAUUCAAGGAUUGUAACAUGGGAAUUACUUUAAUCAACAUACAUGCCAUCUUAUGUUCAUGAAACUUGUAAUUAAAUCUUCUAUUAAAACCCAUACAACAACACAAACAUGAACACAACCCAAAUUGCACAUGUAAAUAAUGAAUCAUUAAACUUGUAGUUUUUGAAAAAAGUUCUUGAACUCCAAGUGUGGAAGAAAACCCAAGGAUGAACACCUAACAUACCUUGAUUAUUAAUUUUGUGAAGAUUGUGGGGAGUUCUUAAGGCUUGAUUCUUGAGCUUGAUGAAACUAGGGCUUGUUCUUGAGAGGAUUUUGAGAAUAAAGAAAGAAAUUUACCUUUUUGAGAGUUAAAUCUCGUGUUUUACCUGAAUUGGGUAAGGGGAAAAGGACCUUAAUUCCCUUAGAAACUCGAAAUUUAACGCGGCAAGCACAAAAACUGCCCAGUGAUGCGAUUGGUGAUGCAUCGCGUUGAUGGGAUCGAUGCGAUCACCGAUGCUUUGCGUUGAUGGGUGUAAUACGAUAGUCAAUGCGACGCAUUAAGAUCGCGUUGGAUUGCUGUUUUGCCCAUCUAAACAUGACCCAAAUGAAUUUUGAAAAUUCCAAAACUUAUCUAAUAUGACCUAUUGACAUCUUUGAUCAUGAAUCAACUUGAAAAUCGACAUUCUAAGGUGGGAAAAAUAAAAAAUAAGAUCAUCCAAUUUCAAAGGCUAAAAAUGCUUCUAAGCCUUAACACUUAGCUGAAUUUUUUCUAAGUAUAGGACCUCUUUUGGCAUGCUAUAAAGGACUGAAACGACUAGGAUUUUAUGGGGCCUUACAAUAUCUCCCUCUUAGGAACAUUCUUCCUCGAAUGAGACUGAUUGAACUGAGAGUAACUAAGAAACUGUACUUACACUGACAUGCAUAACUGAAGCAUGACUGAAUUCUGAAGAAAUGACACAUAACUGAACUGUUUCAUGAAUGCAUGGAUGAUAUGAGAAUGCUAUGCAGCUGCAACUGAACAUGGACUAGAGUAAAUAUAAGGAAUUUUGUUACCUUAGGCUGAGUCUGAGUUUACAGAGAAGAGGUGAGGAUACUUGGUUUCGCAUGUCUACUUCUGCUUUCCAAGUAGCUCCAUCAAUAGACUAAUUCUGUAAAAGAACUUUGACUAAGAAAACUUCUUUGUUCCUUAUUUUGUGAAGCUGAUGAUCAAGGAUUUUGACUGGGACUUCCUCAUAAGAGAGACUAUUCUGAAUAUCUACACUCUCUAUAGGGACUACAACUACUGGGUCACCAAUGCACUUCUUUAGUUAGGGGACAUGAAACACUGGGUGCCCUGAUGCUAAGUCUGCAAGCAACUCAAGCUCAUAAGCUAGCUUACCAAAAUGAUUGAGAAUCCUAGAAGAACCAACAUAUCAGGGACUAAGCUUUCCUUUCUUACCAAAUCUCUUCACUACCUUUAUGGGAGAGAUUUUUAAAUACACAAAGUCGCCAAUAUCAAAAUCGAUAUCUUUUCUUCUCAUAUCUGCAUAUGAUUUUUGUCGGCUCUGAGAUGUCUUAAGACUCACUCUGAUUAACUAAAAUUUCUCGAAGGCAUCAAACACCAAGUCAGGCCCUACUACUGCGGCGUCACUUACUUCAAACCAACCAAUAAGAGAUCUAUAUCUUCUCCCAUAAAGUGCCUCAAAUGGAGCCAUCUGAAUACUAGAAUGAUAGUUGUUAUUAUACGCGAACUCAAUCAAAGGUAAGUGGUUAUCCCAACUACCCUUAAAGUUAAUAACACAUGCUCUCAACAUAUCUUCUAGAGUUUGAAUAGUACUUUUUGAUUGACCAUAAAUACCAAGACCCUUUUGGAAGGCUUUCUAAAAGUGAGAGGUGAACUGCAUACCACUAUCAGAAAUGAUGGAGUGCAAUCUGACCAACUCUCUAACAUAGAGCGUAGCAUAAUCCUCGGCGAAGUAAGAGGUAUGAACUGGCAAAAAAUGGGCUGAUUUGGUCAUCCUGUCUAUAAUAACCCAAAUCGAAUCAUGCUGACGAUGAGUAUGAGGUAAACCCAUCAUGAAGUCCAUGUUUACUUCUUCCAACUUCCAUAUGGGAAUACUGAACUCCUGCAUGGAACCACUAGUCUUUUGAUGCUCAAUCUUAACAUGUUGACAUGUAGAGAACUUAGCCACAAACUCUGCAAUAUCUCUCUUUAUCCCACUCCACUAAUAGACUACCCAUAGAAAACCUACUGAGGGUAUUAUCCACUAUAUAGGCCUUACCUAGGUGAUACAGAAUAUUCAUGUCAUAGUCUUUCAACAACUCUAGCCACCUUCUUUGAUAUAGGUUUAAGUCAUUAUGAGAAAAUACAUACUACAGGAUUUUAUGGUCUGUGAACACAUCAAUAUGCACCCCAUACAAAUAGUUUCUCCAAAUUUUUAAGGCAAACACAACAACUACUAAAUCAAGAUCAUGGGUGGGGUAAUUUUUUUCAUGAGACUUAAGUUGUCUAGACGUAUAGGCCACAACCUUACCCUUCUACAUCAAUACACACCCCAAACUAACUCCGAAAGCAUCAAAAUAAACAACAAACCCAUCUGAACCAUCGAGCAAAGUCAAAACUGGGUUGUAGUGAGUCGAGUCUUUAACUCCUGAAAACUCUUGUUACAAGAAUUUGACCACUAGAAUUUGACUUUCUUUUGAGUCAAUAUGGACAUGGGGAUGCAAUAGAUGAAAAUCCUUCAAUAAACCAUCGAUAAUAGUCAGCCAAACCUAAAAAACUCUUGGUAUCUAAUAAAGAGAUGGGUUUGGGCUAGUUUCUCACUGCUUUGGUCUUUUGAGGAUCAACUAUAAUGCCAUUACUGAAAACUAUAUGACCAAGAAAAGAUAUUGACUUUAUCCAAAAUUUGCAUUUAUUGAAUUUGUCAAAUAACUAAUGGGCUCUUAGGGUCUGCAAUACUAUUUUAGAUGGUCUACGUAUCAGAAAGAAGGUCUAUUCUAAAGUUAAUUUCCCUUUCAGGAAGAACCCCAGGAAGAUCUUCGAGAAACACAUCUUGAAUUCACUUGCUACUGGAACUAAAUCAAGAUUAGGGGUCUCUAAACUAGAGUCUUUAACUCGAAUAAGAUGAUAGAUACACCCGUUGGAUAUCAUUUUUCUCACUCUAAGGUAUGAAACAAUCUGAUGCCUAAGUACUGAAGUACUACCCCUUUAUUCUAGGAUAGGUUCUUUCGAGAACUAAAAAUAGACUACUCUUUUUCUAUAAUAAACUAAAAUAUAGCAUGAAUGGAGCUAAUCCAUGUUGAGAAUGAUGUCAAAAUCUUUCAUCUCUAACUCUACUAAGUCUGCUAAAGUAACUUUCUGAGACACUAUAAUCGGACAGUUACUGUAUACCCGCUGGGCUAUGAUAGACUUACCUACUGGGGUGGAAACUGAGAAAGGCUCUGCUAGGAUUUUGGGACUGACUCCAAAGUCAACAACUAUAUAAGAAGUUGCAAAGGAUAAAGAAGCUCCUGGAUCUAGCAAAGCGUAAACAUAUAAAUGGUAAAAUUGUGACAUACCAGUGACCACAUUAGGAGAAAUUUCCUGAUCAUGUAGAGAUUGAAGUGCACAGAGCCUGUUUAGGCAUUGCCCAUUAGUGCCACUAGAAGCGGCACCCUGCUGAGACGGGUGAUGAGACUGAGUUAGGGGUGAUUAUACUAACUCUGUGAACCCACCUGAGGACACUCUCAGAUCCUAUGGCUUGGCUUGCCACAUCUGAAACAUACAUCACUGCCAGCCCUAUAGAUACCUAGAUGGUUUCGUGACACUUCUGACCAAGAGGAUUUAUUCCUGCACUGCUAACACAACUCUGAGAUUUAGAGCCUGGUUCCCUAUCCUUAUUACCAUUUCUGAACUUAGGCACCAGAACACUGGCUGAGGAUGGAGCCAAAACUAAAGAUUUUAGGCAAAAUUGAGAAUGGUUAUCACCUUCUGACUUAGGUUGAGUGAAGUUGAAGCUACUUGUUCUAUCUUUCUUGCUUUCCCUCUCUUUUUCCUUAGUCUUCUACUUCUCUAUCUGUUGAGCAUAGACCAUUAACCUAGCUAAGUCCAUAUCUUUAAUUAGCAUUGCAGUGCUACACUCCUUGACCACACUGUCAGAUAUACUAGACAUAAACUUACUCAUCUUAGAUCUGUCAAUAGCUACCUCUAAACUAACUGAAUAUGAGUUGACGGGACAGACCCCAACUAACUCCAACUGACUACUAAACUGAAAGCAUGAAAUAAAACAAUUUGUCCUCAAAAUAUGAGGACUCACCACUUCUACUGCUGAAAGCCUGAGAAGUCUAAAAAUAAUCCGGGAACUAGACGUCUGAACCUAUGAUAUGAAUCAUCAUAGUGCAAAAAAAGGGAAUGCGAUCAAUACUUUGAAUGUACUGGUAUGAUAAAUGAGGUAGAAAGAUAUGCAUGGUUUAAUGAACAUGAACAAAUAAUCAUCUAAAUAUAUAUAUAUGAAUAACAUAAGGUACUGAAUAGAGUGUAUAAAGUUUGUAGAUACCAAGAAUACAACAAAUCUGUAAAUACUGAGGAUGCAUGACCAAGCAUAUAACAUGAACUGAAUGUAGUCUAUAAACUAAAAUACUGAAAUCCUAGUGACUAAAUGUCUGAUAUAUAUAUACUAUGGUAGAGCAACCUAAAACUGAGUUACUGAACUGAUUUUUGAACUAAGACUGUAACUUGAGACUAUGGGAGGUAUCAUCUAACCUACAUGCCAAUCUGGGCUAAUUGGGGUCCAACCUAUAACCCUAGUUAGAAGGGUGUUAAUAUCAUGCCACGGGUACUAACUUUAGCUAUAUGGAUCAACUAAACUAGUGUACUGUAUUAUCCCAAAGGACUGAGGGUGUCAAGCCUAAAUAGAUGGGUGACCCCUGUGAGAUAGUCAAGCCUAACUGAUGGGUGACUUCUUAUAACCUAUGCUAGCUACGUAGUUCUAGAGUAUAGGGACUACUAGUAAUAACUCGUCUAUCAGACGGGGAAGCCGUUAUCCCUGCACUCGCUUGGUGCUAAAUCUUACUCCUAACUGAAUCACACUAGAUUACUAAACUGUUCUGAGUUUAACCGACUGAUCUGAUAAUGCUAAUAUUAUAUUCUGAAGUUAUUCUUUAUAUAUUGAAAAUAAAACUAAGUAAACAGCUAUGGUUUUUGGAAAACCUCCAGGACUCAAAAGUAAUAAUAGUAAAAUAUUAUCAAGCUUAGAAGACACAGCAUGAAAGCUCUUAGCUAAUAUUAGUUCUUGUAGGCAUUUCAUCAAACACUUAUAUGCAUAACUUAGGCAAAUCAUGGGAAUAGUAUUAAACUUUAAGUGACAGUGUGAUUUCAAAGAUCAAUAACACCUGAUCAUGACUUAAUUCGAUGAAUAAUAAUAAUACAACAUGAGGGAUUUGACAACAACAAUAGUUUCAUUGAAACAUGGUGUAAAAUUAAUAUUUAUGGAGGUUCAUGGAGACUUAUAGUUUAAAAUCAUAAUUUAAUAUCAUGAAUCUUGAAAAGAUCAUAACUUUAGUAAUUAAAUUGGGUACUUGGACUCCAUGGGUGAAAGGAACCCAUGGAUGAACACUUAACAUGCCUAGGUUGAUGAAUUCGUGAGAAUUGAUGGUGAGUUCUUAAGAUUUGACCUUGAUUCUUAAAGGUUAGGGUUUUGCUAAUUGAGAGAAUGUUCUUGAUUUUGGAGAAAUAUUGAAUAAAAUAAUGACUAAUUAGGUUAUUAGGGACUAAAUUUUGUGUUUUAGGCAGACUGGGGUGAGGAAAAAGGACUUAAAAGCCCUUGGACUUAAAACACGAAAUUGACUAAAAAAUCCCAAUUUGGCAUGUUGGCGCGAUGCAGCGCUAUCAUGCCAUGUCACUUGAAAAUGACAAUUGGGAACUGAGGGCUUGUCGCGACACGAUAGAAUCGCGUUUCCCUAUUGAUUUCAAGUUUUGGACUCAACGCGAUGCGGUGAAAUCGCAGAGCUUUACUGGAAAAGAACAAUUCUGAAAAUUUUGCUUGGCGUGAUGUGCCAUAAUCGCAAUGGAGUAAUGGAUUUUGACAAUUGCCAUUUGGCGUGCCUCCGCGACGCGUUGAUGUUCCUGGUGGUAUACUGUCUUACAAAAAUGGCUCUAACUCUUUAUCUGAGUGUUGGAUUUGGGCAAACUUUAUAUUGUUGGAAAGCUGACUGAAUUUCCUACGCAAUGGUAAGCUCUAAACUAAAACAUACUAAUUAUUUUAAAAAUUUAUAUGGAAUAACUCAUGUGGUAAGAUUUAAAUUUAGGCUAUGGAAAUACGGGGUAUUACAAUAUCUCCCUCUUGGGAAUAUUCAUCCUCGAAUGAGAUUGAUUAAGAUAAGGAACACUGAUAGACUGAGUUUACAUACUGAACAUGCAUAUCUGAUGCAUGAAUACAUGGUUAAGCUGAUUCAUGAAUGCAUGACUAACAUGGGAAUGAUAUGUAAUGAUAACUGAAGUUUGUAACUGUAACUGAACAUGGAACAGAGUAAAUCUAAAGAAGGCUGAUACCUCAAGUUGAAUCUGAGUUUGUGGAGAAGGGGUGAGGAUACUUGGUUCGCAUAUUUUCUUCUGCUUCCCAAGUAGCUCCGUCAAUGGACUAAUUCCGCCAAAGAACUUUGACUAGUGGAACUUUUUUGUUCCUUAGUCUACGAACGUGAUGAUCAAGAAGUUCGACUGGAACUUUCUCAGAGGAAAGACUGUUCUGAACAUCUACACUUUCUAAGGGAACAACUAUAGCUGGGUCACCAAUACUCUUCUUCAACAACAAGACAUGGAACACAGAUUGUACUGAAGCUAGCUUGGAAGGCAACUCAAGCUCGUAAGUUACCUUUCCAAAACGACUGAGAAUUCUGUAAGGACUGAUAUAUCAGGGACUGAGUUUCCCUUUCUUACCGAACGUCUUCACUCCCUUCAUGGGAAAGAUUUUUAAGUACACUAAAUCAGCGACUUCAAACUCGAGAUCCUUUUUCCUCACAUUUGCAUACGAUUUCUGUCUACUUUAGGCUGCCCUUAGCCUUUCAAUGAUCAACUGGACUUUCUUUAAAGCAUUAAACACUAAGUUAGGCCUACAACUAUAGUCUCACCUACUUCAAACCAACCAAUUGGAAACUUAUAUCUCCUCCCUUAUAGAGCCUCAAACCGAGCUAUCUAAAUACUAGAAUGAUAACUGUUAUUGUACACAAAUUCAAUCAAAGGAAAGUGGUCAUCCCAACUAACUUUAAAAUCAACAACGUAGUCUCUUAACAUGUCCUCUAGAGUUUGAAUGGUCCUUUCUGCUUGACUUUCUAUCUGAGGAUGGAAGGUUGUAUUGAGGUGAACUUGGGUACCGAGACCCUUUUAGAAUACCUUUUAGAAGUAAGAGGUAAACUGAGUACCUCUAUCUGAGAUGACAGAUAAGGAAACACCGUUAAACCUAACCAACUCUCUGAGGUAGAUUUUGGCAUAGUCCUUGAUCAAAUAGAAGGUAUGAACUGGCAAGAAAUGAGUUGAUUUGGUCAUCUUGUCAACGAUAACCCAAAUCAAACCAUGUUGAUGAUGAGUACGAGGUAAUCCCAUCAUGAAGUCUAUGUUCACUUCUUCUCAUUUCCAUGUGGGAAUACUAAACUUCUGCAUGGACCCACUAGACUUCUGGUGCUCAAUCUUAACCUGCUGACACAUGGAUUACUUAGCUACAAACUCUACGAUAUCUCUCUUCAUCCCACUUCACCAAUAGAUCUCCCACAGAUUGCGGUAUCUCUUAGUAAUCCCUGGAUGAAUAGAGUAACGCGCACUAUGCGCUUCAACAAGAAUUCAUUGUAUUAAGUCAUCUACACCUAGCACACAUAGCCAACCCUGACAAUGCAGCGCACCAUCUCUUUCUUGGGAGAAAACUUCUACCUUAUGAUCUCUGACUGACUCUUUCAUCUUCACUAGAUUGGGAUCUCUAUCCUGUGUUUCCUUUACCUCAGAAACUAGAGGAGAUUCUAAACUACUCUGCACCCAUACACUACCCUCUGCUGAAUCAACUAAGCGAAUUCUUAGUCGGGUAAGAUGAUAAACCACUUGAACUAACUUUUUCUUACCAUUCUCAACAUGAGCAACACUAACCAUAGACAAUCUACUGAGAGCAUCUGCCACUACAUUGGCCUUUCUCGGGUGAUACAGAAUACUCAUGUCAUAAUUUUUCAAUAAUUCCAACGACCUUCUCUGACGUAAAUUCAAAUCUUUCUGAGAAAAGACAUACUGCAAACUUUUAUGGCCUGUGAAGACAUCAACAUGCACCCCAUACAAAUAGUGCCUCCAAAUGUUUAAGGUGAACACUAUAGCUACCAAUUCAAGAUCAUAGGUGGGGUAAUUCUUUUCAUGGGGCUUAAGUUGUCUAGGGGCAUAGGCUAUGACCUUACCUCUUUGCAUCAAAACACAACCCAACCCAACUCUGGAAGCAUCAUAGUACAUAAAAAACCCAUCUGAACCAUCUGCCAAAGUCAAAAAUUGCUCUGAAAAUCUCUGAUGAAACUGAGGGUGGUUACCACCUUCUGACCUUAGUUUACUAAAAUUAAAACUACUUAUUCUAGCACUCUUAUUCUCCCUCCCUCUUUUGUCUUCUACUCCUCAAUCUAUUGAGCAUGGACCAUCAAUCUAGAUAAGUCUAUCUCCCUAAUCAGUAUUGUGGUCCUACACUCCUUAACUACACUAUUAAAUACACCAGACAUAAACUUGCUUAUUUUAGAUCUGCUGUCAGAUACUACAUGGGGAGCAUAUCUGGCUAACUGAGUAAAAUUGAGGGAAUACUUCUUCACGCUCAUACUACCCUACCUCAAGUUAAUAAAUUCUAACACCUUGGCCUCCCUCAACUCCAAUAGGAAGAAUCUAUCUAAGAAGGUUGUAGCAAAGUCUUCCUAUUUCAUCGGCCCUAUAUUUACACCCCUAUCUACCUUUACUACUUAAAACUUGUAUGGUCUAUAUCCUAAAACUAAUAUAUAGCCAACUUAGCACUCUUAAUAGACGUCACCCCCAUAAUAUCCAUUACCUUCUGAACGAUAUCUAAGAAUUCUUGUAGAUUCUCUUCAGACUUGGAUCCCAUGAAAGAAGAAUGGUUCAUUUAGGUAAAGUCACGAAUCUUGGUUGUAGUAGUAUUGGACACUAGGUUGGCCUGAACAGUGGAUAGAUGUUUAUUCUGAGCUACUAUGGAAUUGGCUAAAGUGGUAACCAUAGCUCUGAAUUCUGCAUGAGAGAUAUGCUCGUCCAAGAGAUCUGGCUGAAUGGGCUAAGGUGCUGACUGAUUUUUGGCCCUUCUUUUAUUAGUCUUUUUGGGAGGAAAAUUCUGUAAAUAGAAGGAAAAAAUAAAUUAGAUAGAGAGUUUAACAUGAGCAUCAUGCUCAGUUGCACAACGUGACAACUAGAAGAAGGAAAUUAUUUUCUUAAAAUAUCUUGUAGCCUUUUGUCCAUAAGUGUGGUGCACUACACACUCAUGCAUAAGAAUCUAAUUGAUAUGACUUUUAGACUUCCUAGGACACUUUAAAAUCUUAUGAUUUGAUACCAAGUUUGUAACACCCCCGAGAGUACACCCUAGGCGUCAUACUGUGCUUACAGUUCUGAGGGACCACAAGCUAACCCAUGAGCUGGUACCUGAUGUGAGUACUGAAUAAUAUAAUGAUAAUACAGAAGAACAACUAUUAAGCCAUAAGGUUUUAAGUAAUGAAAACUCAUAAAAUCUAUAAAUGCCAAACUGAUAAAAUAAUUUGACAAUAUCAACUGAAGUUUGAAUACUAAAUAACUAACUGAAGUAUCUAAAAGCCUCUAAACUGAUUGAAUAUCAGUUGAUAGGAUAGGACCCAACUAACACCAACUAACUACUAAACUGAAAGCAUGAAAUAAAAUAAUUUGUCCUUGAAAUAUGAGGACUCACCAAUACUACUGCUAAAAACCUGAGAAGUCUAAGCAUGAUCCGAGAACUGGAUAUUCGAACCUAUGAUAUGAAACAUUAUAGCACAAGAAAAGGGUAUGCAAUUAUUACUUUGAAUGUUCUGGUAUGCUAAAUAAGGUAAAAAGAUAUGCAUAGUCGUAUGAACAUGAACAAAUAAUCGUCUGAAUAUAUGUACGAAUAAUAUAAGGUACUGAAUAGAGUGCAUGAAGUCUGUAGAUACUGAGAAUACAACAAAUCUAUAAAUACUAAGGAUGCAUGACCAAGCAUAUAAUAGGAAUUGAAUGUAAUCUGUAAACUAAAAUAUUGAAAUCCUGAUGACUGAAUAUCUAAUAUCUGUAUGCUAUGGUCAAGCAACCUAAAAUUGAGUUACUGAACUAAUUUCUGAACUAAGAUUGUAACUUGAGAUUAUGGGAGGUAUUAUCUACCCGAUAUGCCCCAAUCUAGGCUAAUUGAGGUCAAGCCUAUAACCCCAGUUGGAAGGGUAUUCAUACCGUGCCCGAGUACUAAUAUUGGCUGUGUAGAUCCACUAAAUUGGUGUGUUGUAUUGUCCUUAAGGACUAAGAGUGUCAAGCUUAAACUGAUGGGUGACCCCUGUGAGAUAGUCAAGCCUGACUGAUGGGUGACUUCUCAUAUCCUACGCUGGAUACAUAGUUCUAGAGUACAGGGAUUGCUGCUAAUGACUCUACCUAUAUGAUGGGGAAGUCAUCAUCCCUGCACUCGCUCGAUGCUAAAUCCUACUCCCAGCUGAAUGAUACUAGAUUAAUAAACUAUUUUGAGUUUAACUAACUGAUCUGAUAAUGCUCAUAUUAUAUUCUGAAGCUAUUCUAUAUAUACUAAAAUGAGACUAAGUAAAUAGAUAUGGUUUUCAGGUAUUCAAAACCCCCAGGACUCAAAAUUAAUAUAGUAAAAUAAUCUCUAGCUUAGAGGACAUAUCAUGAAAGCUCUUAGCUAAUUUUAAUUCUUAUAGGUAUUUCAUUAGGCACUUGUAUGCGUAACUUAGCAAAUCAUGGGAAUAACAUUAAACUUGAACUGACAGCAUGAUUUAAAGAUCAAUAACACCUAAUCAUGACUUAAUUUGAUGAAUAAUAAUAAUAAUACAACAUUUGGGAUUUGACAACAACAAUAGUUUCAUUGAAACAUGGUGUAAAAUCAAUAUUCAUGGAGAUUCCUGGAGACUCAUUGUUUAAAAUCAUAAUUUAAUAUCAUGAAUCUUGAAAAUAUCAUAACUUUCAUAAUUAAAUUGGGUACUUGGGCUCCAUGGGUGAAAGGAACCCAUAGAUAAACACUUAACAUACCUGGGUUGACAAAUUAGUGAGAAUUGAUGGUGAGUUCUUGAUAUUUGACCUUAAUUAUUGAAUGUUAGGAUUUUGCUAAUUGAGAGAAUGUUCUUGAUUUUGGGGAAAAAUUGAAUAAAAUAAUGAGUAAUUAGGUUAUUAGGGAUUAAAUUUUGUGUUUUGGGUUGAUUGGGGUGAGGGAAAAAGAGAUAAAAACCCAUGGAAUUAAAACUUAAAACUAACUGAAAAAUCCUGAUUUAGCAUGUUGGCGUGAUGUGGUGCUAUCAUGUCAUGUCACUAGAAAAUGACAACUGGGAACUGAGGGCCAGGUGCGACGCGGUGGAAUCGUGUUACCCUACUGAUUUCAAGUUUUGGACUUAGCGCGAUGCAGUAAAAUAAUGGAGCUUCACUGGAAAAGGACAAUUCUAAAAAUGUUGCUUGGAACGAUGUGCCAUAAUUGCGAUGGAGCACUGGAUUUUGACAAUUUCUAUUUGGUAUGCCUCUGUGAUGCAUUGAUGUUCUAGGUGGUACACUGUUUUACAAAAAUGGCUCUAACUCUUCACCCGAGUAUCGAAUUUGGGUGAACUUUAUAUCAUUAGAAAGCUGACUAAAUUUUCUAUGUAAUUGUAAGCUCUGAACUAAAAAUAUUGAGUAUUUUAAAAAUUUAUAUGGAAUAAAUCAUGUUCUAAGAGUUAAAUUUAGGCUAGGGAAAUACGGGGUAUUACAAAUUCUUAGGAAAUUCUAUUCUUGAUUCCUUGUUGUGUGUUCGUACUUAUAUAAACCUCUAAGUACUUAUUUUGGCUCCACUCUUUACCAGAUGCAUAGUAUGAGGUUUUUGAUGGAUGUGGAUGAGACUUUUGCAUGUUACCUAAUCUUUGAAUUAACAUUAGGCAAAAAAUUAAUGGUUGAUAUCGAGGAUCUUCAGUGUCAGUCAGUGGGUCUGGGUCCAGUGUAAGCUUUGACAGUGUUUGUGAAUGCCUCAUCUUUUCUUGAUUGAAUGUUGGGGAUUCUUUGAAUUUUCAUAGAUUCUUCACAGUCAAUGGUGAUAUUUGGUACAUUCAGUGGUUCCCAGGCCAUAGUUGGAUUUUUUGAUGCUUAUAAGGAUCUUAUCAGUUUCAGAGUAUGAAAUUGGGUUUCUCAAGUGAUCCAAGCAUAAUCCCAUUUUAUUCCCUACAGAGUAUGAGAUGGUGCAUGGAUUUAUCGGUGGAUUGACUUUACCCCUCUGUUGAGCGAUGAAGCAUUUGAUAGAAGUUAGGUCUACAUUCCUUCAAGUUUUUUAUCAUAGGAUAACUAUAGGAAAAGCAUGUCUUAAGACAUUUAAAGGUAGUGAUAAGUGACCAUACCCAUAGUAAGUAUUAGUAGUAUUCUAUCUGGAGGUCAGGAUCCUCCUAGUAGAGGUCCUCAUAGGUAGUACCUCAGAUUAUAGGAGGCUCUCAGAUAGAUUAUCGUGGUCUCAAUAGAUAAAGUUAUGGUUAGGAAUUAAGGGGUACUCAAUCGAGGACUUUAGGCCAUGGCGGCCAUUUUGGGUCAACAAGUAUAGUGCAACAAAGAGUUCUAUGGCAUGUUUCAAGUGUGGAGGUGAUUUAUCACUGGUCUAAAAAGUGCCCCAAGCAUAAGUUGGUCAGCCAGCUAGGGUCAAAUCAUGUUUCUAGCCAAAUUCGAGAUUCAAGGGUUUGUUACCACAACAAAAAAAUCAAUCAUUGGUCAAGAGAGUUCCUCUAGUGUAGGAAUGUUUGCCAGUUAGCAUAUUUAGAUUAGUCUCUUAGAGUUGUGGCACCUUCGGGUAGCGAUAGCACACUUUGUGUUUUAGUUGAUCAUUUGGAUGGUUUUUCUGUGUUUGGAUGCAUUUGGAUUCAUACUUCUUUGAGUGAUACCAUUAUUAUAAGUGUGCUUUUUUAUUCCUAUAUUUUAGUUUUUAUUUUUAAUUAUUUUGGGGUUUUCAUACCCAUCGGUGGUUACAUACCUUGAUAUUACUAUAUUGAUAGUUAUACGCCUUUGUGUGGAUUCAUGUAUAUUUGAAUACCCCCCAUAUAUAAUCUCUUUUAGCAGUGGAUUUAUAUUUUAAUUUCCUUGAGGUGUAGCAUUCGGGUUAAAGUCCCUUUCUUUUCAUAUAUUGAUAUUGUUGUGAUCUUAGAGUGGUACUGGUUGUUUUGUAUUUUUGUCACACCUGCACCUUAUACUCUUGUUGCUAUUGUUAUUACUUCAGUUAUGAUUGAUAGUUAUUUGAUAGACAAUUAGACUAGGAUUACCUAAUUAGUAACCCUCUCUUGUGAUCUUUGUCCAUUUGGCAUAGAACCUUAGUUGGUUAGUUUCCCUUCUUUCAGUAAGGUAAGAUCGGUUGUUGAGUGAUUUAUGAAGGUGAAUAUUGGCUUGAACUUCUAUGGAUUUAUGUUAAUUCUAUCUUUGGUGAUCUGUAUCAACAACUCACUCCUUCUAUUGAUAAUCUCGAGGUUUGUUAUUUUGACUUAUUUGGUUUGUUGCCUCGUAGUAGCCUUGCCCUUGGAAUUGAUGUUAAGUUGAGUACUCUAAUCUUUCUGAAAUAUGGUUCACUAUUCAGUUGAGUUAAGGUUUGUGUAAGGAGUAAAUUUAUAAAAUUCUUAUUUUGGUAUUUUUUUGGCCUUGUGUGACUUCAUGAAAUGCUUUGGUUUGGUGAUAUGUACUUUUAUAUCAGUUGUCAAUAACCAAAGUGGAUCUCUUUUGGGAGUGAGUAUUUGUUUCUAUUGUUUGGGCAUUGGUUUGACCAAAUUUAGGCUAAGAUUAUAAUUUUUUCUAAGUUGCUCAAGUUUUUUCUACCAUUAGUACUCAUUAUAGUCUCAGAGAGUACUUGUUUAUGCCUUGAUGUACUAUUUCCUCUGUAGAUGUAGAUUUGAUUGCAUUUAUUUUCAACCAGUAGUUUUUCUUAUUUAUUUUUGUGCUCUUCGACAACAUUUCAACUUCAGCUCUUAUAGGAAUCAAUGAAUAUGUGCUUAGUUUCUAAGGGUGAGAUUGGUUUAGGCUAUGUAUAUGAUUUUUGAUAAUGAGAUUAAUUUGGGUAUUUGACCUCAAUAAAGACUUGUUGGCUCCAACAAUGGUUUUUGACUCUUUUAAUUGAUGGCUCAAAGGUUGUGAUAGAUUUAGAAGUAUAAAUUUUUGCGCGUCAAUGGGAUGGGUUUGCAUAGUUUAGAUCUAAUAGCUCAGCUUCGAUAUUGAGAUUAUAGUUGUGGAUUUUGUAACUUGGUUUCAACCACUAUUAAAAAUUUGACUAUAUUAAGACUUCAUUGAUAGGUUGACGAGGCCUACUCACUACUUAUUGACUCAAAUUUCUUCAAUUUAGAGAGUUAUAUAAAUUAAAUGCUUAGAAUAAGAUUCAUCGGCACAUAGUAUUGGUUUCUACAUAUUUUGGCCUUGAUUCUUUAUUUUUGUCAAAAAUUUAGAAUGUUUACUCAACAAAAAAAUGUACCUAAGUUUGGCUUAGCAUGGGUUCAUCCACAGUUGGUAGGGAAUUCUUCUAAAAAUCAUUUAGUUUUAAGAGCUUUUUCUUUGGGCUCAUAACUAUUGGUUUCGAGUAUCAUCCAGACCAAUUAUUUGAUUUGGUAGAGGUUGCAUUCAUUAUCCAUCACCACUUGAGUAUUCAGGUAAAUCUUAUGGUCUUGUUCUUAUACUAGUCUAUUUUAAUUUUUGGUGGGUCAACUUCAGUUUUUUUAGGUUAGUGUGACGUGAUUGCGCUGACAAGACUCAUAUGAUGAUGGAUAGAUUUUUUGUAGUUCAAAGUGGGUAUCAUGUUUAUAAUGGCAAAAAAAAAUUAGAUUUAGAUUUGGAGUGGGCUAUAUGAUUUAUGCCUUAGUUUGCCUUUAGCCUGGGUGAGUAUCUUUUUAGUUUUACUUGUUUAAGUGUGACAUCAGUAUGUUAUGGUUUGGGUUUGUGUGCUUCAUCCAUGCUCGAUUCUAUUUGAGGCUAGUUUGUUGUUGAGUAUGGGUUUAUGGUUAUUUGGAAAAAUAAAGUUAAGUUAUGAAAGAAAAAAGGGUAUCCUUAGAGAAAUCCCUUGGAAAUAUUUGUUAGCCUUAGAGGUUAUUUGAGGAGUGUUUCUUGGGGGCAUGCAGGCCUAGUACCUUAUCCGUUUGAGCUAUCAGGCUAUUUCUAGCUAAUGACUUUUAAGGAUAAAAGUCCUUUUAGUAGCGGAUAUUGUAAUGACCCUCUGGUUCAUUCUCUCAUCUUUCAUGCAUUUUUUGUAUUUUAUGCCUUUCUAUAGUGGCUAUAGGUCAUUUAUGUCUUGACUAAAAUGUCAGUUUGGUUUUAGAGCUUUUGCAUUUAAGAAAUUGGUCUCAGAACAAAACUCUCAGUAAACAAGCUCAAAUAAGAAUUUUGAUAGUGUUGUCAGCUUCAAAAGAUUAAUUCAACUCUAAAGGGACCUUGGGUUUAGGUCCCAAGGCUUUCAAACUUAUUUUGGAUUAUGUAGAUUUGCUGAAAAUAAAAAAAAACGAGUGUGGGGCUCACUUUUUGUCAAAACAACCUCUGUUGGAAACUUUGAUGGUUCCAUUAAGUCAAAAAUGUUGAAUUUGGUAUGAUAACAUAGUUUGUUUGCAUGUACGAGGUUCCGAACAGAUCUUGAGCCCUUGGUCAAACUUCAUCGGGAUUUUGAAUUUUACUGGUUCACUGUAUCUGGUGCAGGCGAAUCUUAACCUAUGCAUUUUCGAGGCCUGUGUUGCAUCAGCGGAGGUCGACGACCUUGACCUUAUAUUAGCAAACCAGUCAUCACGUUCACAAAGGGUAAGCUGGUCUGGCCGGCAUUCGCGAAGUAAGGUAAUGACCCUCCAAGUCAUUUUCUGCAUUUCUACACAUUUUACUAUUUAGAGCAUUCCUAUAGCUGUCCCAGGUCAUUUAUGACUUUCUGGAGCUGACACUUCAGUUAUUGGGCACCUCAUUUGGUUUUUAGAGCCAAUUCCCUAUUAGAAGUCUUUUCUGGUAAGGAUUGGCAAUCAGGUGUAAACUUCAUCUUAAUGACCUCGUAUGUCAAUCUAACCAUUCCAUCAGCUCUAAAACAUCAUAUUAAGCUAGGGGAUCUUUUUUCUUGGGUCCCGAGGCUUUCAAACUCAUUUCAAGAUAUUGGUAGGAAUUUGAUAAACAUAGCCCUUGGGUAUGGGCCCAACUUUCAUAGAAAUGACCCCCCAAAUGGAAAUUUUGAUCCUAUCUUUCAGUCUGGAAUAUUUAAUUUGGUAAGGUAGCAUAUUUCAUUUGUAUUCAUGAGAUUAUGAAUGAAUCCAGAUGGUUUAGCGGAAUCAUGAAUUUUUUCCAAAUUUCAGCUGGUGCAUCCGCUAACAAGAACCUUUGGUUGCUUUAGCGAAGGGCGCUUUAGCAUCCAAUUGGUUACUUACUAGGUGUUGUCUAGUAGAUUUCGUUGAAUUCUACUAUAUGUAAUGAGUCCCUAAUGGUAUGAUUGUGUAUUUACAUAUAUAACAACUUGUUUAUAGUGUUUGAGGUUUAAUUGAAACAAGACAAGAGUCAAAACCAAGUUAAAGAACAAAAGGGGCAAAACUAGUAUUCAUAGCUUAAGUUUCUAGUUCGUCGUCUUGGAUGUUUUGUUGUUUUGACCUCUUAUUCGUGUUGUUUUUAUCUAUAGGAUGCUUGGUGAGUUUAUUAUGAUGAUAUAUGUAUGAUAUACAAGAUGUAAAUCAGUGAAAACAACACCAAAAGGCUUGGAAUGGAUGGAGAAAAGCACGGGACAAGAUUUGACAUAAACUGGACCUCUUGGAGUUCACUAGCAUGUCGCGGAGCUUAGCCACUUCUAUGGGGCUCAUUCAAUACAUAGGGAGCUUAAUAAAGGACCCAAAAUAGUGUGUCUCUAAGAUUAGAGUGUGGUACACACCCUAGGUACCGUUAUAAGUGGCACGAUACAGACCCAUGUCAAAAUCGGCAAGAAUUGUCAUCCUAUAAAUAGGAAACUUGAACAUGAUGUUAUACACCUUGGAUGACUUGGAAACUUUUAGGGAGUUUUGAAAAAACUUUUCGUAGAAUUUUGUUUCUUUACUUUAGUUUUUUCAUGGAUUUUAUCAUUUAUUCAUUUAUUGUGAUUAUGGUUAUGUCCAUGAGCAGCUAAAAGCCCUUUUCGGGGUUAAGGCCAAGAACAUGAAUACUAUUGCUAUGAAUUGAUUGAGUUUUGAUUUUUUAUCAUAUUUGGUUUUUUAUUUAUUCUUAUCAUAACUCUCUAGAGCAAAAACCCCUAAAGACUAUGGGAAAUUAGGAGACUAAUUACUGGAAGAUCAUGGGGUGUUUGUAAGCUCUGGAUAACCAUUUCUUCAUCAUAAACCUUUGUGGCAUUAUGCAGAAGAUUCUCGAAAGGUAAAAUCAUUAAUUUAGUGAAAUUCACUAGGCUUUCUUGGACGUCCAGGUAGUCUAGGCAUACUUUUCUACUAGAUUAAGCUUAAUUAUAGUAUUGAUUUGAUAAUAUGCAAGUUUUGGGUUGGAAAUUAGGGUUUUAAGUUAUAUUUAGUAUGAAUUGAAUAAUGUAGCUGAUUUAGAAGUCGUAAUUAGGCAUAAUUGACUUAGCCAUUCAUUCUUUAAGUAAAAUUGUUAUCUUAGGGUCCAAUGAGACUUACUUAGCUUCUUGUGGUGAUAUUUGAUACCUUAGCCUAGUUAGAGGUGGAAUUUGCCUUAGAAUGAAUCAUCGGGGUUUAGAAGUGGGCUUCACCAACCCACCUUAGCGAAGAUUACUAUUAGCUCCAAGUAAACUCAAUAGAGAUGUUAAAUUAUCUUAGUUACUUUCUUGAUCCCAAGGAGGUUUAAUACAUAUGAUGGUUUACUCUAGAUUGAUGUAUGGGAGAUAAUAAGACCGAUUUGAUUCUAUCAUUAUUAAUGAUAUGACUUUUAGUUCAAGUCCGGUGACUUAUGAUAUUGAGACAGAUUCAAUUUUGGUAUUCUUGAUGGUAUUGGUUUUGGUUUAAGUUUGACAUUCAUGAUAUUAAUUUCAGUUCAAGUCUAGCAUAUGAGAUACUAGUUCCAAUUUAAAUUCGACAUUGAGAGGUCAUUUAUGACUAUUAUAUGAUCGGCUAGAGUCUAGUGUUUAAAGCAUGGAAGGGUCCAUAGUAAUGAUUUUGAGAUAUGGAUAAUUAGCAUAAUUACUAUUACUACUUUUCUUUUAUUGCACUCUCCAGGAUUAUGGGCCCCCCAUUAGGUUAUUUAAUUUAUUGCACCUUCUAGCUUAUGAGGGCUAAUUAUGUAAUGAUAGCUAUAUUUUAUUUAAUAUUAUUACACUAGUUAUUUACUUACAGUAUUUGAAGAGUUACUUCGGGUUUACCCUCUUUCCUUGACUUAACUUAUUUAUCUUGCAUUUUAUUAUAUUUAUAUUAAGAUUUAGCUCAGUCAACCAAUGAUGCAUAUAAAAUACCCAUUACGUUGAUACUCAUACUAUACUUCUAUACCUUUUUCUGAAGAUUUGAGCACUAGCUGCCCCCACAUUAACGCUGCAAUUGUGCUAGUUAGAGUUCAAAGACCAGGUGAUCCCUCACAACUGUAUUUGACCAUUUCUCUAUCUUUUAUUUUUCUAUAGCGUUUCUAUUUUUGGGACUAUUGUAUGUUGACUUGUAUAGAACACCUAUGCUUUUAGAUUAGAGGCUCUUGUACUGACUAUAUGAGGUCAUGGGAUGAUGUUACUUUUGUCUUAUUCUUCUUUAUUUAUGCAAUUGCAUUUAUGUUCUAUGUCUUGUAAUUACGUGCUUGAAUAAUUUAAGCAUUUAUGCCAUUUUCCCAGCAAUUAGCCCGUUGCUUAUAACUCAAGCUAUGGUUUGGCUAACCAACUGGUGGGAUAGAGUAGGUGCCAUGGUUCCUCGAGGAGUAGAGAGGAGCAUAUGUAGUAUUUGAGGAUUGUGCUCCAGACUUUGAGAGAUCAUAGGAUUUUUGCCAAGUUCUUAAAGUAUGAGUUUUGUCUAGAGCCUAUGACAUUCUUAGGACAUAUGGUGUCUAAAUAUGGGAGUAUGUGUCAUGAUCGAAACCAGGGUCUGGCCAUGACGGGUAUCUCAAGCCCGUCGAGGAUCGAAGACCACCUCUUUUGUCAAGUUAAAUAAAACACAAUAUAUAUACAUAUAUAUACACACAUAUUUAUAGAAGCAGAAGAAUUUCAAACAUAUAAUAAGAUAAAUAAUCAACUGGCUUAAAAUAGAACUAUGAUAUCAAAUAACAAUUCUAAUCCACAGUUGAAAUACCCUAGGUUUUGACCUUUAUAAAAUUUCCUGGAUUUCUGGUUUCAGGACAACAUAUGACUUACGGGUACCAAUCAUAUAGUGAUGUACGAUUUUCAUGCCUUAUUUGUAUAUUAACCAGUAAAGAUUGGUUAGUUGGAUUGGUCUCAAGAAUGGGUACGAAUUUGGUUGUACAAGUUAUAUGGUUGGUGACGGGUCGUAUGGUUUAGGUUUUUCCUUUACUUAAUUUGAGACUUAGUAAAAUAAUUUGGAUCUGAGUAGGAGUGGCUCACCAUGGGUCAUGAGCUAGGUACGAGUCGUACCCUCAACUCAUAUGAUGGAUAGUGUUCAAACUUUCUUUGAUUCUAUUCUGUUAGGGAUACGGUUUAGGGAUACUAAUCGUAUGGUUGGAUACGACUUGGUUUGGGUAAGCCAUAUGGUGAAUAAUGUUAGGUCUAAGAAGGGAGUAUUAGGGUAUGAGUGAUGGGUACCACUCGUAUUGGAGGGUCUAAUUGGUAUGGGAGAGUCGUAUCCUGUGAUGGGGCAAUUUGGACAUUUCCCCUUCUAACUCUUUGGGACCCCACGACUUAUCUCAUACUUGGGACAUUAUUUACCCUAUUAUUCUAUUCUUAGAAACUCUUUUUAAUGCUCUCUAAAGAUCUUGGGUAAAGAAAGGCUAGGGUUUCAUCUAGAGGAGCAAUUUGGGGCUUGUUUGGAUGAUUUCUCUCCAUCAUCAUCUAAUCUAAGGCAAGUUACUCCUCCCUCAUUUUUAGUUCCAACUAAAGGCAUGUUUUAUACAAUGUUUUCAAGGAAUGAUUAUUGUAAGGUUAUGUGGUUUUCAAAUAUAUGUUAGGGUUUUGGUUAUAAAUGCUUGGUUAUGGUUUUCCCAUGUUUUAAUUAUGUUUUUACAUGCCUUAAUGGUGGUUUGGACAAUUGGUUGCAUGGGAAUAGUUAAUUGGUAAUUAGAAUUGGUUUUGGAAAUACUAUGCCCCUAACAUGUUUGAUAAAAUGCCUAUAAGAAUGCUUUUACUAUAUUAUUGGACUUUAUUAGAACUAUUGCAUGGUAUGGUUUGGUAAUGGAACCCUAAACGAUAUAAAUGGUUUAAAUGGCUUGGAAUGGUUUUGUUUAUCAAUAUUUUGUGGGGUACAUGGGACUCCCCCAAAUAAUCUUAAUAAUGGAACACUUGUGGGGUACAUGGGAAUCCUCCAAGUUAACUUGAUAAUGUAAUCUAUAGGUACAUGAAUCCCUUUACAUAAGAAGGUUGGCGAAGGACAUUUCUUAGAAGCUAUAGUUGGUAUGAUGAUACCACUACUUAUAGACUUGGUUAAUAAUAAUGGAAAAAUGGUUUGGUUGGAUGAAAAUAGUUUAAAUUGGACAAUAAUGGCGGGGUUUGAUAGCUAACCGUAAAGGUGAGAGUCCAAUGGACGGACACUGGAAACUCAUAUUUGCCGAUAUGAGGAGUUGGUCAUAGCGACCAUAUAUGAUACUAUAAGGUACAUGGGAAUCCUCUAAGUACAUUGCACAUAUGUAUCACGGAGAGCAAAGUGUACUUGGGAAUCCCCUACUCUUAUGGUAUCUCUAGUUCGUAUGGUUACAUACAUCGGGGACCGUUCAAGGGGUUACACUGGACCCAUAUAGCCUGUGGGUGGUUCUUGGAUGGUUAAGCUAUACAUACCCAGUUUAAUGGUUUUAAAUAUAUGUGAAACCUUGUUCCCUUUCCCGGCAUGGUUAUAUAUGUAUGGUUUGUAUGCAUAUGUUUGGUUUACUUGGUUUUACUGAAUGACAUUAUUUUGUCCUUAUCCUAAGUUUCUUGAUAGCACUCACCUGCUAACCCAUCUUCGAGCAGUUGUAUCCCCAUGACAUGCAGGAACCGUCUAUUCUACUCCUCUUGUAUAGUGAUUGGAUUUUAGGAUCAGCUAUUGGAUUGAAGUGGUGAACUUUCAUAUUCCAAAAGGCUCCAUUUCUUUCAUAGAUGUCUUUACAUACUUGGGUUAUUUUAUGGAUAUUGGUUUUGACUAUAGUUAGGGGCAUGUCCCAAUUGGAUAUUGGUUUUCUUUUGGUUAGAGGCUUUUAUGUUAAUACUAUGGGUUGGAAUGGGCGAGAUUGGUAUUAGUGUCAGCCUUAGUAUUGGCAUUACUAUUUUAACUGACACCCUUAGAUGGUAUUGUUGGUUGUUCCAUCCUCUCAUAUUAUGUUAUGGACAGGGACUUGGUUGUUGUUUGGUUGUUGGUUUAUGGUUUAGUUUUGUUAUCAGAUGGGUUUAGGCGUUUGGACUCGGUUGGGUCGGUCUCGGUUAUAGACAUAUCCCAGAGUCUAUAAUUGGAUACUUUCACUAUCUUGUUUUAUGCUCAAAAUUCAGCCAACUCAAGGUACGCGGAUGGAGGUUGGGUUGGGUAACGGGGUGGUCUCCGGUCCUACUUAGACUUGGGAUGCCCAUUACAACAAAGCCCCGGGUCGGGUCAAGUUGGUAUCAUAGCUUUAGGUUCAUGGUCAAUUGGGAGUCCACAAGCCGUGUUGAGUAGAGUCUCUUUUAGGGGUACAUAGUGCGCCACAUUCACAAGGAAGUGGCUACAAGGCAUUUAGAAAUGUUUCACUUUCUUGGUAUUCUAUUUUAAGGCUUGGAGUCUAAGUCAUGGAAUCUUAUCUAAUCCUGGUUUGUUCUUUUUUCAGAUCAUGCCUCAAUGAUCUGAGAUGCAAGGUAACUCUUUUGUUAUAACUGGGGACAAUAUUGAAGAGACACAUACUACUCAGGGGAUCUAUACUCGGUCUAAGGUUCUGGUUCCUAAUAUUUAUGGAGUCCCACCGGUUGCUACUAGUCCUCCUCAAUGUGAGGUGACUAAUUCAUAAUUUCAUCAAUCGAUUCAUAUUAUCGCUCCUUUGGUUAUUGCUCAGGCUGAGAGGGGUGCAUCUGGUGUUUCAUCUGCUGAGGCCACUGGAAUUGGUCAGUUUAUAAAGAUGAAUCCUUCUACUUUCACUGGUGUAAAGGUGGAGGAGGAUCCUCAGGGUUUCCUGGAUGAAAUAGAGAAAGUUUUCAGGGUAAUGAAGGCCACAAAUAUGGAAGGGGUGAAUUUUGUUGCUUAUUAGCUAAAAGAUAUGGUGUAUUAAUGGUAAUAGGAAUGGAAUCAGAUGAGGGGUGAUGACGUUGAGGAUUUAUUGUUAUAGGAGACUUUCUCUAAUGCUUUUCUAGAUUGCUUCUUUCCUUGGGAGUUGCGGGAAGAAAAGGCAGAGGAAUUUGUUAAUCUGAAGCAGGGAAAGAUGUUUGUCAAGGAGUAUGCUUUGAAAUUUCAUCAACUGUCUAGGUUUGCUCCGGAACUGGUGUUGGAUAUGAGGGCCAAGGUGAGAAAGUUCACUUAGGAACAGUUUUAAGAUUUGAUCCUUGAAAGUAAGACUGCUUUGUUGAUCAACGGCAUGGAUAUUCCUAGGUUGGUGGUUCAUAUGCAAAAGGUUGAGGAUGAAACGAGGAAGUAUGCUAAGAUAGGGGAAAAGCAGGGUAAGAAGUUCAGGUUCUCUGAACAAGGUGGUCAACAAAGUGGCAAGGAUGGUGGUAUCUAGCCAAAGAAGAAGUGGGGGAUUUCAGGUUCCUUAUUUACAUCUAGUGCUCCUUAUCUGAAGCAAUCGGGUGAUACGGGCCAUCAGGGAGGCGAUAAUUCAGGGCUGAUGGUAACUUGAAUGAAGAUCAAUCUUAGAGAAACAUCUAGCAUCCUGAAGUUGGUCAAAAAGAUCAUUGAUUCAAGUAAAAGGAUACCUAUUCUUCACUAUGACCUUAUUCAGUUGAUCAUAAUCUAUGCACAUCCAAAGAGAUUCAUCUUUAUUUUGCACAAAAAGCACAGAAGUACCCUACAGAGAAACACUAGGAUGAAUGAAAGCCUUUUCAAGAAGGUCCUUUAACUACUCCUUUAUCUCCUUUAAUUUCACUGAAGCCAUCCUAUUAGGAGGAACAAAAAUAUGAAGGGUAUCUGGUAGAAGAUCAAUCCCAAAGUCUAUUUCCCUAUCGAUAGGAAUUCCAAGAAGAUCGUCGGUGAAAACUUCAGGAAACUCAUUGGCCACAGAAAUAGAUUGCAAAGAGGGACUCUCAAAAUUAGAAUCCUUGACCCGAACUAAAUGGUACAGACACCUUUUGAAAAUCAACUUUCAGGAUUUAAGAUAAGAAAUAAACUAUCCUUUCGGCACUAAGGAACUUCCAUCCAUUUCAAGUAUCGGUUCAUUAGGAAAUUGGAAACUGACCUUUUGGGUCCGAAAAUCCAGAGAAGCAUAAUACGAAUAAAGCCAAUCCAUCCCUAAUAUUAUAUCAAAACCUACUAUGUCAAGCUCUAUCAGAUCCACCAAUGUCUCCCUAUGGAAGAUAGACACCACAGAACCCCUAUAUAUAUUUCUAGCAACUAUAGAGUCACCCACCAGAGUAUACAUAGAAAAGGGGUCGGAAAUAUUUUCAAGACCAAACCAAAACUGUACGGCCACAUAAGGGGUCACAUAAUAAAGGGUAGAACCCAGGUCAAGUAACCAAUAAACAUUACAGGAGAAAAGCUAUAACAUACAAGUGACAACGUCUGGGGAUGCCUCACAUUCCUGGAGGGUGAAAGAGCAUAGAGAUGAUUUCAGCCAGUACCAGUACCCAAAAUGGCACCCUUUGGUGUAGGAACCGAAGAAGUGGCGAUCGGAACCUUAUUAGCUCCAGUGGCUGCCCUAGCUACAGGAUAGUUCCUCUGCAUAUGUCUAAGCUGACCAUAAUUGAUACACAAGUUCCUUACCUCAUUACAAUAACACGAUAAAGUUGUCCACAAAAUCAGCAAGGAGGAUAUAGUAGGGACGUCUGAGCAACACUAGACUGAGAAUAGGCUCCAUGUGCCUUAGGACCACUGCUAGCCUAAUAAUGACGAUCACCAGAUGGCUUAGGGUAAGGAGCACUAGCCGAUGAAUAUGAACUAGAAUUUCCCUAAGUCUUCUUCUUGGUCUACUGUCCACUAUCUCUCCCACUGUUCUAAUGCCCUGCACCCUACUCUGAAUAUCUGAACUUCUUAGUCUGCCUCUUUCUAUCUCUUUCUGCUUCUUCUAUUCAUCCUCUACUUGUUUUAUAUAAACCCCAAUAUUUGAGAUGUCCAUAUCAUUGUUUAACAUUGCAGCCUUACACUCCAAUACUAAGUCAUAGGACAACCCAGAAGCAAACUUCCUCAUCUUAGAUCUCUUGCUAGAUACCAACUACUAGACUUUAAAGGCAUACUCUUUCAUACUCAUCUUACCUUGCUUCAGAUUCACAAACUUCAUAUUUUUGGCUUCACUCAACUCCUGAGGAAAGAAAGGAUCUAGGAAAGCACCUAAAAACUCAUCCUACUCAGCUGGCUUAGCAUCAUCACCUCUCAACUACACUCACUACUCAUACUAAUGAUAAGCUAUAUCUUUUAACUGAUACGCAACAAACUCCACACCUUCAAAAUUAGUAGCAUGAAUCACCUUAGAAAUCUUCUCCAUCUCAUCCAUAAACCCCUGAAGAUCCUUCUCAACCUCAAAGCUCAUAAAGGUCAGGGAAUUCAACCUAAUAACUAGUCAACCCAAGUGACUUCAGAUGAAAGAGAAACAAAACCAACACGAUCAGACUAGAAAGACUGAGAUGUUACUAAUUGAGUAAGUAGAUUAAUAGACUAGCAACCCUCUACAUUAGACACAUCUCCUUGAUGCAUCUGGAAAUAAGUAUCAUCAGACUAAGAAGUCUGAGGAGGACUAGUAGGGACUAUUGGAACUCCACAUGGGGUAGUGCAAUUAGGAGCGGGGACCCUAUACAAGGUCUGCACUCCAUAGGCAGGGCGAGUUCCAUCCAUAUUUCCCUCAGGUGGGGCAGAGGUUCUAGAAGAGUUUCUACGAGCAUCAAAUCUUCAGGGAGGUAUGAUCUAAAAUGCAAGUAAGCUAGGAGUUAGAGAAGUUCAAGAAACUAGACUAUAUAUCCUAAACUAGAACACAAUGAAGGAAAGUAUUCCUAAAUGCCUUAUAGUGUCCCCCUUAUUAGUGUCGCAUGCUACACAUACCUCAAACGGACUCUACUCGACAAGGCUUUGUGGACACCUAAAGACCCUGAACUGUGCAUUGUUACCAAGAUUUUCAUGAACCAAAACAGAGUGUAGUCAUGACAGGUAUCUCAAGCCCACAUUAAGUCGUAGACCACCCCCUUAGCCUAACAUCCAGAACAUAAUAUAAGAAUACAGCAGAAUAUAAUCUAAAUAUGAUAAUAAAAAUUAUACAUAAUAGAAUUUAAGAUUAUGAAUCAAAACAAACAUCCAACCCACACUUAUCCAUGAAAGCCUCUAAAAAAACUAGAAUACCAAAUCAAUUGGGACAUGCCCCCUACCAUGACCAAAAGAAUCCAAAAUAAGAUAUUAAGAAAAAAUAAUGAAGCCAAAGAAAUGAUUGGCCUUCCAUAAGAUGGAGGAUCACCACUUCAAAGUAGAACAAAUAAUGAAUCAAAUCACCUAACACUACACAAGGGCAACAAAAAACCCUGGGACCCUACAUCAUGAAAUGAUGCAGCAUCUAGGGACGGUUAAUGGGAUAAGCGCUAAUAUGUAACUCAGGAAAGGGAUAAAAUAUUAUCAUGUCCAAAAUUAGUCAAAACCAUAUGCCCAUAUUCAUAUAUACAUAUAUAAGAUGUAGGGAGAGGGUACAAGGUCAUGAACAUGAUAUUUUAAAAUAUUAACCUGGAUUGUGUUGCUUUAUCCAUCCUAAGGGCACCCACGGGCUAUAUGGGUUUCUCCUUCCCUACUGAAAGGGUCCCAACACGUGUUAGCCAUAUGAAAUUAGAUAAUUUUUUAGUGAGGUCUAGAGGAACCAAUGCAACCAUCCAAAAAAUAUUUAUAAUGUGUGAACUAUGCACAUGGUCAUAAAGAUCCCCAUGUCGAUAAAUAUGGUUUCUAGUGUUGGUCCUGCAGGGACCUCUACCUUUAUGGUGGGCUAUACAACCCCCUUUAAGACCAAAUUAAAACAUUUGAACAUAAUCCCAACUAUUAAUCCAGGAGUCAUUUGUUAAGGCAUUUACCGUUUGGUAUGGUCAUACCAAUUAUGUUUGCAGGCUAAAUCCAACUAUGUCGUCCCAAAUAAAUUAACAAAUUUGAAUCCAAAGGUUCCAUUUAAAAAUCCAAAACCAUUACCAAGGCCUUUAAAAUCUAUUUUUAUUUUCCAUUAUCAUUUAAUGCAAUGUCAGGUUCUAAAAGUAAGUAAAAUCAUGCAUAUAUCCAUGUUCCAAAAUCCAAAUUACAAAGUAGGUUGAGGUUAAUGCCAAUUCCAAAGCAAAAUACAUAAAUUUGGGGAAACUCGUGUUCCCUAUUCCAAACAUACCAUAUUUUCCCAAUUCAUCCCCAUAUCAUUAAUUAAAGUAUAAACAAUGCAUUCAAAACUAUGGGGAAAAUCAAUUCAAGUGAUUACCAUUAAAACCACUCAACCCAAUUUUCAAUCCCACAAUUAAACCACAGGAUUAUUAAAUCAAUUCAUGCCAUAGUGAAAUUAUAAGUUUAGAGAUGAGAGAUAUGCCUGAAACACACAAGAAUUUAAAUAAAUUCAGAGUUUGAUGCUUGAAGAUUGAAUUUCUUGAAAACCCUAGUUUUCUCUUGACUUGGAAUUUUGUGAGGAAAGAGUAAUGUUUUGAUUUGAUUAACUAAUAUUAAAGGGACCCUUGGAGUGUUUUUAAGUCGUGGGUAAAGUGUAAAGGAAGAAAAAAGAGCAAAAAUCCCUUAAUAAAAACUUGCAGGAAAAUUGGGCUCUGUCAUCACUGUCUAGGUAACGAAUCAUGAGGUCUGACCAUGAGCCAUUGCCUGGACUCAUGACCUGAAUGUAAAAAUUACCAUCUUUCACUGUUAUAGCCAUGAGUCACUCACUACGACUCAUUGUAUGAUGUCACGACUCAUGACAUCAACUUGUGGUCAAUGUAGUACAUCUAGACCACCUCACUAUUAUGGCUAUGAGUCACUCACCACGACUCGUGACCUGACCUAAUGACUCAUGAAAAGUCGUGAUCAAAGUAAAAUCCUGGGCAAAAUCAUUGGUGAGACCAUGAGUCUCAUCCUAUGACAUGUGAUAUAUGAUAACGACUCAUCACCUUAGUCAUAGUCAUGACAGCGUUGACAACACUCAAGAAUUUCAGAGUCCAAAACCUGGGGUAUUAUAGCUCCCUACCAACGCUAGGUAGGUGGCACCUAUUCUAGGUAGGUGCUAGUGUAGGUAGCCACUUUUUAUCUUUCAACUUCUUUUUCUUCCGGUUAGGUCCCAGAACCUAGUUUUCUGUAAACUAAACACAAAAACAGUCAUAUCCCCAAAAUAGACCUAAGUACUUGUAUAUUUUCCAAUUUUAAGCAUAAAAAUGACAUAAAACCAUGGAACAUAAACACCCUCAACUUAGAAUGUUUGCAUGUCCUUAUGCAACAAAACACAACAAAACAACACAACAACACUUAACCACAAGAAAUCUAAGAUACCAUCGGUAGUCAAUUUCACUUUAAGCUCAAGAACAAUUCCCCCUCCUAUAAUAUUUCAGAACCAACUGUGUGGAUCAAUGUAUCACAAUAAUGUGACACAAGGAAUCAAGCUAUGGUAUUACAUUAGCAACAAACAAUCAUGCAUAUGUACAAAUUACACUACCCGAACAAAUAAGUAGUUAGCAACACAACUCAAUUGCCCUCACAGCAAAUAAGUUCCACUCACUAAAUAGAAUUAUGCAUGUUAAUGCAAGGAGAUCAUGAGACACGCACACUCAUAAAAAAGUUCCAACAAUGUUCACAGAAUACUAUACGUUUGCCCUUAUUUUUUACCUCAGUUUUUAGAUAAUUGAGUUAGGAUCACUAUAGGACUUUACUCAGAUUGUAACAUAAGCUUGGAAGAUGGUAUGGUACAUAUGGGAAUUUAGUGACUAAGUCUCCUUGGCACUACAAUUAAUUUGGGGUCCACUUAUCAACCACUUUUUCUUUUAUUCCGCGCUUAUUUCUCCUUUUUUAUUUUUUUAUUGCUUAUUCGGUUGGGUUCCAUUUCACUUAUUCUUUCUAUUUCUUUUUUUCAAUCUUACUUUUCUUUUUUCCUUUGUUUAUCUGCCACACCCAACCCUACUUUUUCCUUUUUUUAUCUGCCACACCCAACCCUACUUUCUUUUCUCUUAUUUCCACCUUUCGUAUACCUAAUUCUAACCACGUACCCCUAUGAUAAUCACCUUUAACUUAGGCAAUUUUCUUGAGUUAAGGUGCAUAAUGUCCAAAGAGGACUAGGGCCAAAAUAGGUUCAUUGUAAGUAAAAUAGGAAGGUUAAACAUGAAACAAGAAAAAUAGUCUAUAUAGACUAAAAUAGGGAUCAAGGGAUACCUAUUUAGAUUUAGAAGGUUAUUUAGGCUAAAAGUGGACUAAUUUCAAGAACGACCUAUGAUCCUUUCCUAAUCGACUAUCCUACAAUCUAGGCAAGACUAACCAGGUAAGUUUUGGAUUUCAUACACAAAGGGAACUAAGUAAGCAUCUUACACAAUUAUGGUUCAAUUUUGUGUCACAAACUACUACCUAUCUAAUUCAUGAAAAAUCUAGCUAUGAUUAUUUUGUCCCUAAUCCUAAUGCCAUAAUGUUGUGCCCAAGUGCACACGCAAGUGUACGUGGUCCCACCAAGUAGUAAAGUAGUCUUUUACAAGCCAAGUAUUGAUACCAUAGGUACUUAUGUUAAAAACUAUCUAAUUCAAGUUUAACUAUUGAGAUUUACUUGAUGCAAAGGUAACCAACAAAGUAGGAAAGUUAAGACUAACUGUAAACUAAAAUAAUACGGUAAUGUAAAGUAUUUGGACAAUCAAUGGGGAGAAACCCAGGGUUAAUGAUCUAUGAACAAUCAUCCGGUUAGGUUACUUAUCUUGAUUUUUUAUUCACAGGGUUGAUAUUAUGAUUAUGGUCUUCCGAGCCUCUAAUAACCUAUCUAACUUAGACCUACAACUACAUCAUUAAGCGGGGAUGCGAGAACUAGGCCAAAUGCAUUCAUAUGUCAUACUGUAAGUAAAAAGAAUAGGUAAAUUAGGUAUAUUCCGAUCCUAAAUGGAAAUUGUAAUUUCAUUCUAUAGAAGAUUACAAACCUAUUCUAUUUAUCCCCAUAUACUAUCCUCUUGUUCCUUAUUUCAGUUUCACAAGAUGACUAUGGCUGUAUUAUAAGGGUAUAUAAUCCUUAAAUAGUAAAAAAAAGGAUAAAUAUGCAUAAAAAUAUGAUAAAUAAUAAAAAUAAAUCAAUUCAUAAUAAGAGUAAUCAUGUUCUUGGCCUUAACCCCGAAAAAGAGUGUUAGCCGCUCAUGGACAUUGCUGUAGUCACAAUGAUUAUAUGCAUGUUAAAAUCCAUAAAAAAACAAAAUUAAUGAAAUAAAAACCAUAACUAAAGUGUUAUCCAGCCUCCCUCAAAUUUUCAAGGUCGUCCAAGGUGUGUAACAUAAUGUUUAAAUGUCCUAUUUAUAGUAGGACUAAAAUUGUCGAUUUUGACACAACAAUGUGCCUCGGACCUUAUUGUGGUACCUAGGGUCUGUGGCAUGCCAAUAUCUAGGUGAAAUAAUUUAAUUGGUCAUUUAGGAUUCCCCCAAUGGUGUGGCAUGUACCCUAACGCGGUGUCUAAGGUUCAUGGCACGCCAAUGACUCCAAAAUGUCUAUUUUUGGUCAAGUCUUGUCCCAUACUUUUUGGGACACAUAACAAGUUUCACAAUGGUAAAAUGUAUAUACACAUCACAUAGUCUAAAAUACAUUUUUGGGAGGGGUUUCAUUUUUAUCAAAAAUCAAAACAAAAUGCAUCAAUUUGCCUUAAAUACUCAUUAUCUCUUAGUUGUACAAAAACACAACACACAAAACAAAAACAUAAUAUGACCAAACAUGCUUAUUUUAUACCUUGGUAAAGGAAUUAUGCAUGGUUUAAAUGCUUUGAAAAGGAAAAAGGCUAAAUAAUAAUGCUUGUGGGGUACAUGGUGAUCCCCAAGUAAUUUGAUAUGGUAAACGGAAGGGCACUUGAAAGUCCUCUUAAUUUAUAAAUGGUUUGGUAUGGAUAGUACUUGCAAGUAUGGUUGGUAUGAUGAUACAACCACUAAUGGCCUUGGUUAAUAAAUGGAUAAUGUUUUGGUUGGAUGGAAAUUAUUUUAAUUGGGCAUUAAAGUGGGAGGUGUAGCAAAGCCAUGAAAGGUAGAGGUCCCGGGAAGGACCAAAAUUUAAAAUUCAUAUUUUCCCAUAUGAGGUGUGGUCUUGGCGACCGUGUUCAUGAUGUCACACUUUACAUUAGGUGAUGUACUAGUAAUUCCAGGUUAUUUCUUUGGUCGUGCGACUUCAUGCACUAGGGCCCUUUCAGUAGGGGGAGCUGAAUCCAUAUAGCCCGUGGGUGAUUUAGGAUGGAAAAUGCUAUGCAUCCUAGGUAAAGAUUUUAAGUGCAUGCUAAACAUAGUUCUCUUUACCAACAUGAUUAUAUAUAUAUGUAUGGUUGUAUGCAGUAUGGAUAGGUUUACUUGAUUUUAUAAAUGACAUUAUUUUAUCCUUAUCCUAAGAUUAUGCUAGCAAUCACGCAUUAACCCAUUCUCAGGUGAAUGUAUAUUCACGCUAUGCAGGAAUCGAUUGUUCCACUCCUCUUGUUUAGCACUCAGAUGUGAUAUCAAUAUUUUGAUUGAAGUGGAAAGUUUCCAUCUUUUUGGAAGGCUCCAUUUCAUGAUAUGAAUAUUUAUACAUACUUUGAUUUUGUUUUGGAUAUUAGUUUUGGUCAUGAUUGGGGCAUGUCCCAACUAUAUUUUAUUACUCUUUUUGCUAAAGGCUUUGUGGUACUACUAUGGGUUGGUAUGAGCGGUAUCGAUAUCGGUGUUGGCCUUAGCAUUGGAAUAAGCUGGUGGGUUAAUAUCAUUGGACAUCAUUUCUCAUUGUUCCAUCAUAUUAUAUUUUGGAAUUGAUUAUACUAUAUCUUGGUAUUUCUUUGGUGAUGGCCUGGUUUAUGGCCUUUGUUUUGGUACGAUUGGAUGGUUAGUGUAGUUGGAAUCGAUUGGGUUGGUCAUGGUCAUAAUCCUAUCCUAGAGUCUUGAUGUGAUUUAACAUGCUAUCUUGCUAAAUAUUUAGAAUUCAACCAACUCAGGGUAGGCAGUUGAAGGUGGAAUUGGGUAAUAGGAGGCGUUCCCUGGUCCUGGUUGGACUUGGGUGCCCAUUACGACAAGGCCAAUCAGGUCACGCAAAGUUGGUAUCAGAGCUUUAGGUUCAUGGUCAAUUGGGACUUCACAAAGCCGUGUCAAGUAGAAUCUCUUUUAAGGGUGUGUAGCGCGCCACACUCAUAAGGGUGAGGCUAUAAGACAUUUAGGAAUGUUUCACUUUCUUAGGAUUCUAUCUUCAAUCUUGGAGUCUAAUGUCCUAGAAUCUUCUCUAAUACUUGUUUGUUCGUCUUUUAGAUCAUGCCUCAUAGAUCUGGAAUAUAAGAAAAUUCUUUCAUCCCAUCUGGAGAUAGUGCUAAAGAGGUACAUCCUUCAUCUAGAGUUUAUCUUCGAUCUCAGAGUCCCAUUCCUAAUUAUGCUGGAUCCUCCUAAUCCUACCAGUUCUCCUCAGGUCCCUUAGGAAAAUGUGAUGAAUGUGGAAUUUUAUCAAUCUAUUCAUGUUAUUGCUUAGUUGCUUGUUGCUCAAGCUGAGCAGGAUAUAUCUGGUGGGUUGUCUAUUUAAGCCACAAGGGUUAGCCAAUUUAUGAAAAUAGGCCCUCCUAUCUUUAUUGGAGUGAAUAUGGAAGAGGAUCCUUAGGGCUUAUUGAAUGAAAUGGAAAAGAUAUUUUGGAUGAUGCAGUCUACUAAUAUAGAGAGGAUAAACUUUGCAAUUAUCAGCUCAAAGAUAUUGCAUACCAGUAGUAUGAAGGGUGGGACAGGAUAUGGGUCAUGUAGAGAAAUUAGUGUUGUAGAAGGCCUUUUCUAAUGCCUUCUUGGAUCAUUCCUUUCCUCAAGAGCUGAGGGAGGCAAAGAUAGAAGUAUUUAUGAAUCUCAAGCAGGGGAGAAUGACUGUCAAGGAAUAUGCUUUGAAAUUCCACCAGUUAUCAAGGUAUGCUCCUGAUUUGGUGGCUGACAUGAGAAUGAGAAUAAGGAAGUUUUCUUCUGGGUUGAAUUAGGAUUUGAUUUUGGAGAGCAAGACUGCCUUGCUGAUUAAAGAUAUAGACAUCUCAAGGUUGAUUGUUUAUAUAUAGCAAAUAGAAGAUGAGAAGAGGAGGCAGGAAAUGUUUAGAGAUAGGCAGGGUAACAGGAACAGGUUUUCUGAUCAGGGAGGUGCUUAGUCUCAAGGUUGUCGGAAUGGUGUCAAAUGGUAGAAAAAGAAGUGGGGAGAUCGGGUUCCUUCUGUACUCCUAGUUCCCCUGACCCGAAGUAGUCGGGUGAUGGGCGCCAUCAGGAUGGUGAUAAUUUUUGGGCACAUGGUGCCCAAUCUCAGGUGAGCGGAGGUCAAUCGGUUUUUUUAUGCUCUCUUUGUCAGUUUUAUGGUCAUCCUCAUCGGGUUUAUUGGGAUGGAGAAAGAGACAAAUGCUUCAAGUGUGGCCAGGCAGGCCGUCGGUUCAAGGAUUUUUUUAUUAAUAAGGUCGUUACGGAGGUGAACAAGGUUCUUAUGGAUUCAUCUUCUGGUCCUACAAUUGGUGGUGUUGUAUAUUUUUCUGUUACUACUCCUAGUUCAAGUGUUGAAGAAAAUAGGUUGUAUGCUUUGGCAUCCCGAUAAGAAUCUGAGGCAUCACCUGAUAUCGUUACUAGUACGUAACACCUUUUUUCUUGUGAUUUAUAUUGUUUGCUUGAUUUAGGUUCCACUCUCUCUUAUGUGACUUCUUAUGUGGCUGUAUAUUUUGGUUUUGAUCCCAACGUAAUUUGGGAUCCCUUUUUUAUUUCUACCCCUGUAGGAGACUCAGUUAUUGCUAAAAGAAUCUAUAAGGGGUUAUGGUAUCUAUUGGUGGCAAGCAGACCAUGGUGGAUCUAUUUUAGUUGUGUAUGGUGGAUUUUAAUAUCAUUCUGGGUAUGGAUUGGUUGCACUCUUGUUAUGCGUCCUUGGAUUGUCAGACUAGAAGGGUUGUCUUUAGGUUCCCUUGUGAGCCGAUUAUAGAGUGGGAGGGAGUUUCAUAGCUCCUAGGGGAAAUUUUAUUUCUUAUCUUAAAGCUCGGAGGUUAAUCUUUAAGGGGUGUCUUUAUCACAUGGUUCGGGUUAAAGAUUCUAGUUUGAAAGGUCCUUUUUUAAGUCAAUUCCAGUGGUUAAUGAGUUUCCAGAGGUUUUUUCGGAUGAUUUUCUUGGUGUUUCUCUAGAUAGGGAAAUAGAGUUUGGUAUUUAUUUACUUCCGAACACUCGUCCAAUAUCUAUUCCUCCUUAUAGAAUGGAUCUGGCUGAGUUGAGGAAACUCAAGAAGCAAAUUAAGGAUCUUCUAAAAAAGUGUUUUAUUCGUCCUACUGUUUCUCUGUAGGGUGCACCAGUGUUGUUUGUGCACAAGGAGAAUGGUUCCCUUUGAAUGUGUAUUGACUACAGACAGUUGAAUAAGGUGACGGUCAAGAACUAUUAUCCUCUUUUAAGGAUAGAUAAUCUGUUUGACCAGUUCUAAGGUGUCAAGUUCUUUUCUAAGAUAGAUCUUCAAUUGGGGUACCAUCAGUUUAAGAUUAGGGAGGUGGAUACACCUAAGACAGUUUUUCAUACUCAGUAUGGGCAUGUCAAAUUCUUGGUGGUGCCAUUUGGAUUGACUAAUGCCCCAACGACGUUUAUAGAUCUGAUGAACAAAGUUGUCAGGCAAUAUUUAGAUCUCUUUGUCAUUGUGUUUAUUGAUUACAUUCUAAUUUAUUUGAAGAGUAAGGUGGAUCAUUCUAAUCACCUUCGUGUGGUGUUGCAAACCUUAAAGAAACAACAGUUGUACGCCAAGUUCUCUAAGUAUGAGUUUUGGUUGAACGUUGUAAAUAUUUUGGGUCAUAUUAUUUCUAAUGAAGGGAUAAUAGUGGAUCCUCAGAAGGUUGUUGUAGUUAAAAGGUGGCUUAGACCCAUGAAUCUAUCUGAUAUUUGAAGCUUCUUGGGUUUAGCUGGGUAUUUAGGCAGUUUGUGGAAAACUUCUUAUUGGUAGUUGCUCCUUUGACUAAGUUGACUCAGAAGAGGGCCAAGUUUUCCUAGUCGAAUGCUUGUGAGGGGAGUUUUAAGAAUUUGAAGGAUACGUUAACUUUGGCUUUAAUUCUGACUUUGUUGAAAGGAAAUAAUAGGUUCGUAGUUUGUUGUGAUGCCUAUCAGGUAGGGCUUGGUUGUGUUUUAAUGCAUCAUGGGAAGGUGAUUACCUAUGCUUCUAAGCAGUUGAAAGUGCAUAAGAUAAACUAUCCUACUCAUGAUCUGGAGUUGUUGGUGGUUGUGUUUUCUUUGAAAAUAUAACGACAUAUCUAUAUGAUGUUCAGAUGGAUAUCUUUUCUGAUCAUAAGAGUCUACAGUAUGUGUUUACUCAGAAGGAGCUUAAUCUUGGGCAGAGGAGAUGGCUUGAUCUUCUCAAGGACUAUGAUGUGACUCUUUACUACCACACAGGUAAAGCUAAUGUGGUUGUUGAUGCUCUUAGCAGGUUUUCUAUGGGGAGUUUGGCUUACGUGGAGAAAGAAAAGCGAGAAUCAGUGAAGGAUAUUCACCUUAUAGCUAAUCUUGGAGUUCUCCUUUUGGACUCCAAGAAUGGUGGUGUUAUGGUGUAAGAAGUUGUUCGAUCAUCUCUUAGUGCAGAGAUUAAAGAGAAGCAAAUACUAGAUCCUAUUUUGAUGAAAAUCAAGAGUGAUGUUGGUGGAAAAAAGGUGGUAGUGUUUGAGAUUAGUGGUGAUGGUACUUUAAGGUACCAAAUGAGGUUAUGCAUUCCUGAUAUCGAUGGUUUGCGGCAAAGAAUUUUGGCUGAGGCGCAUGAGUCACACUAUGUUGUUCAUCCUAACUUGAUAAAGAUAUAUCAUAAUCUCAAGAAGAUCUAUUGGUGAAAUGGUAUGAAAAAGGAUAUGGUUGAUUUCAUGGCCAAAUGCAUGGUGUGUCAACAAGUCAAGGUUGAGCACAUGAGGCCUGGUUGGUUGUAUCAAGAAAUUGACUUUCCUAAAUACAAAUGGGAGAUGAUAAAUAUGGAUUUCAUUAUCGGUCUUCCUCGAUCUCAGAAUCAUUUUGAUUCGAUUUAGGUAAUCGUGGAUAGGAUGACAAAGUCUUCUCACUUUCUGCAGUGAGGACUACCUUUUUGGUGGAAAAUUAUGCAAAGCUAUAUCUUCAGGAGAUUGUGAAGCUGCAUGGGGUGCCUGUUUUAAUUAUUUUUAUCGUGGUACGCAGUUUACAUCUCACUUUUGGUAGACUUUCUAGAAAGGGUUAGGGACUAAGGUUAGUCUGAGCAUAGCUUUUCACCUGCAGUUGGAUGGGCAAGUAGAGAGAACUAUUCAUACAUUGGAGGAUAUACUUUGGGCAUGCGUGGUUGAUUAUGGUGGUAGUUGGGUUGAGAAUCUACCUUCAGUGGAGUUUGCUUACAACAAUAGCUAUCAUUCUAGUAUUGGUAUGGCCCCUUUUGAGGCAUUAUAUGGUAGGAGGUAUAUAUCUCUUAUCGAUUGGUUUGAGCUUAGUGAGACAGAUGUGUUUGGUCCGGAUAUGGUUUAUCAAUCUAUAGAGAAGGUAAAGAUGAUUCGGGAUAAGCUUAUGGCUGCCCAAAGUCGCCAAAAUUCCUAUGCGGAUGUUAGGUGUAGAGACUUGGAUUUUGAGGUUGGGAACAAGGUAUUCCUAAAGGUGUCUCCUAUGAAGAGUAAUGUAGUUUGACAAAAAGGGGAAGCUCAGUCCCCGAUAUAUUAGCCCUUAUGUGAUUUUACAAAAGGUUGGUAAUGUUGCUUAUGAAUUGGAGUUGCCUGCUAGUUUAGGCUUGGUUCAUUCGGUCUUUCAUGUUUCUCUAUUGAGGGAAAUGGAUUGGUGAUCCUUCUUCGGUUGUUCCUUAGGAAGGAUUAGGGAUCUUGGAUUCUUUGUCUUAUAAAGAGGUCCCAAUUAAGAUAUUGGAUAGGCAGGUUCGUCGAUUGCAUACCAAAGGAUUUCACUUCGGUUAAGGUUCUAUGGCAGAACCACAAGUUGAAAGAGGCUACAUAGGAAGCGGAGGAGGACAUGAAGUCCAAGUAUCGCUCUUGUUUUCUGCCUCUGGGAUUCGUGCGGAAGGUAUGUGUUCUUGAAUACAUCUUUAUUUUUUAAGUUUGUCAAAGGAAUGUUUGAAUCUCUUGUAUCUUUGAUUUCCAUCUUAAAGGUAAGAGAAGAGACAUCUAAAGGUUGGAUUAUUGUUUGAUAAUACAAAGGACUCAUGUUUUCAUCUACCCUACCUUUUUCGUUAUUCGGGGAUGAAUGUUCCUAGAGGGGGAGAAUGAAACACCCUAGUUUCUGAACCUUAGAAAAUUUACUGGAAUUCAGUUCUCCGGACCCAAUAUGACUCAGGGGUAUGAUUCGUAUAUUGGCAUACGGAUGGUAUAGACCUGUCGUAUGCUGACAAAUAUUGAUUGGUGGGAUGGAUUUGAUCGCUAGAAUGGGUAUGACUUAGGUGGUACGAGUCAUAUGGUUGGAUUACGGAUCAUAUGGUUUGGGUUUUUCCUUCACCAAACCUUAUACUUGGUAACUUAAGUUAAGUCUAAUUACGAGUGGCUCACCUUGAAUCGUAAGACAGGAUACGAGUCAUAACUUGCACUCGUAUGGUGGAUAGUGUUCAAUCCUCUUGAUAUUUCUAUGUUGUCAGGGGUACGGGUUAAAGGUAUGGAUUGUAUACUAUGGAUAUAACUUGAGUUGGAUGAUUCAUAUGCUUGAUAGUGUUGGGUCUAAGGAUUGAGGCUUAAGAAACGAGUGGCGGGUACCACUUGUAUCCAAGGGUACUACUCGUGUGAGUCAGUCGUAUCCUUAUGAUGUGAUUUUGUGCAACUUAAGUGGGGUAUUAUGGACAUUUCCCCACUUAACCUAAUAGGACGCAGAGACUUCUAACCUAAUUGGGGAAGUAUUUACCCUAUUAUUCUAUUUAUUAACACUUAGAAACUAUUCCUAAACACUCUAUAUUCCUCUCAAGAGCUUUUGGGCAAGGGAAGCUAGUGUUUCAUCUUGAGGACCAAUUUGGGAAUCUUGUUGGUGAUUUCUCUCCAUCUACUUUGUCAAUUAAGUCAUGUUCUCUUCCUUCAUUGUUAUUUCCAACUAAGGGCAUGGUUUUUACUAUUGGUUUUCAUGAUUUCAUUAUUGUAUGCUUUGGCUUUCCAAAUAUGAUUUGGGGCUUUUGAUUAUAAAUGGUUGGUCAUGGUUUCUCAUGGUUUUAAUUAUGCUUUAUAUUCAUUAAUGGUGGUUUUGAAUGCUUGGAUUGCAUUGGAAUGGUUAAAUGGUAAUUGAAAUUGGUUUUUGUUACAUUAUGCCCCCAAUGUGUUUGACAAAAUACUUAUAAGGAUAUUUUUAUUGCAUUAAUGUACUUUUAAUGGAACUCUUGCUUUUUUUAAAUUUGAUAAAGGAAUUCAAAUGGCUUAAAUGCUUUGAAAAGGUAAAAGGCUAAAUGGUAAUGCUUGUGGGGUACAUGGUGAUCCCCAAGUAGUUUGAUAUGGUAAAUGGAAGGGCACUUGAAAGUUCCCUUAAUCUAUAAAUGAAUGGCUACGAAAAAUACUUGUAAGUUAUGGUUGGUAUGACGAUACCACCAGUCAAGGCCUUGGUUAAUAAAUGAAUAAUGGUUUGGUUGGUUGGAAAUGGUUUUAAUUGGGCAUUAAAGGGGGAGGUGUAGCAAAGCCGCGGAAGGUGGAGGUCUGGGGGGACCAAAACUGGAAACUCAUAUUUGCUGAUGUAAGGUUUGGUCUUGGUGAUUGUAUGCAUGAUGUCACACUUUAUAUUAGGGGAUUACUAGUCAUCCCAGGUUAUUUCUCUGGUCGUACAGCUUCAUGCACGGGGGCCCUUUCAGCAGGGAGAGCUGAACCCAUAUUGCCUGUGGGUGGUUUAGGAUGGCAAAUGUUGCACAACCCAAGUAAAGGUUUUAAAGUGCAUGCUAAACCCAAUUCUCUUUCCCAGCAUGGAUAUAUAUACGUAUCGUUGUAUGCAUUAAGGAUGGUUUUACUUGAUUUCAUAAAUGGCAUUAUUUUAUCCUUAUCCUAAGAUCAUACUAGCUAUUACUCGCUAACCCAUUCUCAGGAGGUUGUAUACCCACGCUAUGCAGGAAUUGCCCGUUCCACUCCUCUUGUUUAGACUCAGACUCGGUAUCAGCAUUUGGAUUGAAGUGGUGAGUUUCCAUAUUUUUGGAAAGCUCCAUUUCAUGAUAUGGAUAUUUCUACAUACUUCGAUUUUACUUUGGACAUUGGUUUUGGCUAUGGUUGGGGGCAUGUCCCAACUGGAUAUUCUUAUUCUUUUGGUUAGAGGCUUUGUAGUACUGCUAUGGGUUGGUAUGGCCGGGAUCGGUAUUGGUGUCGGCCUUGGCAUUGGAAUAAGCUGGUGGGCUAAUAUCAUUGGACAUAAUUUCUCACUGUUCUAUCGUAUUAUAUUUUGGGAUUGAUUAUACUAUAUUUUGGUAUUUCUUUGGUUAUGCAUGGUUUAUGGGAUUUGGUUUAGUACAAUUGGAUGGUUGGUAUGGUUGAACGGUUGGACUCGGUUGGGUUGGUCAUGGUCGUGAUCCUAUCCCAGAGUCUUGAUAUGAGUUAACACCCUAUCUUGUAAAAAGUUCAAAAUUCAGCCAACUCAGGGCAGAUGGCUGGAGUUGGGAUUGGGUAACAGGGGGCAGUCCCUGAUCCUGGUUGGACUUGGGAAGCCCAUUACGAAAAGGCCCCCGGUCAAGCCUCAUCACCUCUUUUGGAAUCAAGAUAGAGUCAUCAAAGUUCAAAAGAAAUGUGCCAAGGAAAAUAAUAGAGUCAAGAGUCAGAAAGUUUCAAAAAAAUAAGAGAAAAAAAUAUGUCAGAAAGAAUGAAAAGAGAUGAGUGUCAAGGAAAAUUGAGUCAGGAAAAGUUCCAAAGAGAAAAAGAGAAUAAAAAAAAGAAAUCAGAAUCAAGCAAAAUAACAAGUUUUCAGAACUACGUUUGACCUAAUUCUCCUCUUUCAAGUGUGAGAUACAUAGGCAGUCUUACUCUGAGUUAGGUCCAACCAAAUAAAUAAUUUAGAAUUAUCCAGUCAAAAGAAACUAGGGCAUGAGUUGAUCUAUGUUGUUUGAGUCUAUUCCAAAAGUUGUAAGUACCACCCCACUUCAAGUGUCGUUUGGGCCUCGUGUCAUCAUUUCUUUCUAACCCUAUCCAAAAGACAAGUUACAUUCAAACAAAGACCUUCAGAUCAAUAUUUGAGAAUGUUAAGGCUAAGCAUGCAAUGGAAUAUGAUGAUGCAUUUUGGGAAUUAUUUUUCUUCCUCAGCAUAAGGAAUCAGGAGAGAAAUAAAAAUGCGAGAGUCUUAUUGGUGAUACCCUCACUGGCACGGUAAGGCGAUAGUUAGUUGAGAGAGAUAAAAAUAAGAGAGUCGUAUUGGUGAAAACCUUCACGGUCAUCAUAAGACGAUUAUAGUUGAUAGAAAUGAAAAUGAGAGUCUUAUUGGUGAAAAAACCCUCAUGGGCACUGUAAGGCCAAGGCUUCAAAGCACAUAUAUCCAAAGAUGCAAUUCCUCAUUUUUCAAUAUGCAAGAGGCAAUGUUACUUGCAGGUUUGGUAAUCAUAAUUAUGAUAAAACUCAUCAUCUUGUACCUCUAAGAGACACACUCUCUAAUUUGGGUCUUUCAUGUCUCAUGGAUAGGAGGUGCUCUUUCUAAUUUGAGAUGUUAAUCAUAAAAGAUGCACUUUUUAGUUAGAAAUUUCUUACUUUUAAUCUUAUGUGACAGACUUGUUGGUCUUGGUCAUUCAAUUUUAUCCUCAAGAGGUGUAUUUAUUGAUCAGAGUCUUUAUUCAUCUUUGCAUUAUGCAUUUUUGGAAGUAGUUGUGAUUGGGUUUGACACCCACAAAAGUUUUUUGAUGAUUAACUAGGGAAAAAAGUUAAAUUCAUGUUAUUUGAAACUUCACUUUAGGAACCUCCUAGAAAAUGAGACUUUACUUUUCUGGAAAAUAGAAUCUUUCUUUAUCAUAAUCUUUGUUUGGAAUAAUUUUCGUUGUAGUUUUGAUUUUGAUUUUGAUUUCAAGAGCCCGUGUGGAGAACAGGGUGAUGAAAUUGCAAGUUGGGAGCCCGGAGAAUAGGGUGAGGAAAUUGUAAGUCAGGAGUUCGUCCAAAGAAUAGGGUGAUGAAAUUGAAACUCAGGAGCCCGCCUGGAGAACAGGGAGAAGAAAUUGCAAGUUGGGAGUCCGCCCAGAGAACAGGAUGAUGAAAUGGCAAGUCGGGAGUCUAACCGGAGAACAGGAAGAUAAAAUAGCAAGUCGAGAGCCCGCCCAGAGAAUAGGGUGAUGAAAUUGCAAGUCGGGAGCCCGCCUGAAGAACAGGGUGAGGAAAUUGCAAGUCGGGAGCCCUCCCGGAGAAUAGGUUGAUGAAAUUGUAAUUCAGGAAUUCGUUCGGAGAACAAGAUAAUGAAAUUUCAAGUUGGGAGCCCGUAUGGAAACAGGGAGAUGAAAUUGUAAGUCGGGAGAUCGCUUGGAGAACAAGGUAAAGAAAUUGCAAGUCGAGAGCCAACUCGGAGAAUAGGGUGAUAAAAUUACAAGUCGGGAUCCCGCCCGGAGAAUAAAGUAAUGAAAUUGUAAGUUGGGAGUCCGCCCGAAGAACAGGAUGAUGAAAUUGCAAAUUGGGGGCCCGCUCGGAGAACAUGGUGAUGUAAUUAAAAGUCAGGAGCCCACCUGGAGAAUAGGGUGAGAAAAUUACUAGUCGGGAGUCCGCCCAGAGAAAAGGAUGAUGAAAUAGCAAAUCAGGAGUCCGUUCAGAGUGUAGAAUGAUGAAAUAGAAAUUCGGGAGCCCACCCGAAGAAUAGAGUGAUGAAAUUGCAAUUUAAGGGCCCACCCGAAGAACAGGGUAAGGAAAUUGCAAGUCGGGAGUCCACACAGAAAAUAGGAUGAUGAAAUCGCAAGUCGAGAGCCCGUAUAGAGAACAGGGUGAUGAAAUUAAAAGUUACGAGCCCGCCUGGAGAACAGGUGAAGAAAUUGUAAGUCGGGAGUCCUUCUGGAGAAUAGGAUGAUAAAAUGCAAGUCAGGGGCCCGCCCAGAGAACAGGGUGAUGAAAUUGCAAAUCAAAAGCCCGCCCAGAGAAUAUGGUGAGGAAAUUACAAGUCAGGAGCCCCCCUGGAGAACAGGGUGAAGAAAUUGAAAGUCAAGCGACAAGGUGCAGAAAUUAAAAGUCAAGUAACAAGGUGAAGAAAUUGAAAGUCAAGCAACACAUUGAAGAAAUUGAAAGUCAAGAGCCCACCUAAAGAAUAGGGUGAAGAUUUUCAAAUUCAAGUUCAAAGUUCAAAAAGUCUACAUGAAAGAACAUGGUCAAUGUUUGAGUUCAUCUCCAACACUAAAUUCUGCAUGGAAGAAGAGUCUAUUUGCAAAUUCAGUUCAAACAAAAUCAGAUAUGUUAUUACUUGAGAAAGCAUUGAAGGCUCAAGAUAAAAAUUAGGAGAAGUUGUAUAGAUAAUUUCAGUUAUCUUCUUAACUUGUAAUUUUUAUUUUUGAUGUAAUCACAGAUCUGCGGACCAAAACCUCGACAAGGCCUCACUCAACUCUCCAACUCAGUAUAGUUCCUCUCCUUGUCAACUUUGGAACUACAUGUGACUUGACUCCCACAUAACUUGAGAGAGGUAGAAUAUCUAAAAUCAAGACUCGGUUGCCCUCCUUCCUUUUGUUUCUUUCUUUCGAAUAAUGGUCGGGACAAAAUUCUAUCUCGUUGUCUACUUCUUUAUCUGAAAACACUUUGUUUUUACAUUCAAAGAGGGGCAUGAUGUAGACACGUAAUUUUAUCCCUCCCAAAAGUCAAUUUUUACCCAUUUACCCUCACCGUACGAUGUACCUCACCCCCAUGUAAUGAUCCCUCCACUAAGAAAAUAAAAUAAUAAAUUCUCAACAAAAAUAACAACCUCCCCAAUUAAAAGUGAACACUUCACCAUGGGAAAACUAUAGGAAUAACCCCAAAAUAAGGUGGCUUUCAAGUUUUGACCCCAAAUAAAAAAGCUUCAUAAAAAUAGCCUUCAGCUAUUAAGUGAUAUAUUUUCAGACAAAAUUGCCCCUGACCAAUAGAGUAAAUUAUAUAAAUGAUCCUCAAAAUGGAUAAUAACUCCAUACUUAUUCAUCUUUCAACUUUUUUUUCUCUUUUUAAUUUUACUUUAAUUUUUAUUUUUGAUUUUUGAUUUUUUUCGACCCUUACUUUUUUCCUUUUUUUCUCUCAACUUCUCUUUUUUCUUUUUAUUUUACUUUGAUUUUUUAUUUUUUAUUUUUACUCUUUUUUUUUUAUCUUUUUAGUUUUUCUCAACUUUUCAUUUUUUUUCCUUUACUCCUCCCAACUUCUACUUGUAUAAAAAAAAAGUUUUUUUUUUAUUUGUUCUUUUCUUUUUUUCUUUUUAAAUUUUUCUUGGCCUUUAUUUUUAUUUUAUCUUUUUUAAAAUUUUUAUCAACCUUUAUUUUUUCUCGUUCUCUUUCAACUUCUACAUUUUCUUUGAUUUUUAUCUUUUUAAUAUUUUUCUUCAUUUUCUUUUUUUUAUUAUUAUUUUUGUUCUUUUCUUCGAUUUCUUUAAUCAAGUUAUAUCUUAUGAGCAAAGGUUGACACUAUCACAUUAUAAAGGCAAAACUUAUGACUUUCAAACAAUAAGCUACGUUUCAUAGACAAGAGUUGACACUACCACAUUGUAGAGGCAAGCUUAUGACUUUCAAACAUCAAGUUAUGUUUCAUGGGCAAGAGUUGACACUACCACAUUGUGUUUGAUUUAGGAGAUGUUCUAUAACUCUUACCUUAAAGGUAAGAUUUAGCUCAAGAACUUUCAAACAAUAAAUUAUGGCUCAUAGGCAAGAGUUGACUCUAUCACGUUAUGUUUUCAUUUAUAAGAUGUUCUAAAACUAUUGCCUUAGAGGCAAGACUGAACUCAUGGACUUUCAAAGUACAAAUUAUGCCCCACGGGCAAGAGUUGACUCUGUCAUGUUAUGUCUUCAUUUAUGAGAUGUUCUACAACUCUUUUCGUAGAGGCAAGACUUAGCUCAAAGACAUUCAAACCCCAAAUUAUGUCCCAUAGGCAAAAUUUGACACUACCACAUUAUGUCUUUAUUAAUGAUAUAUUCUACAACUCUUGCCGUGGAGGCAAGACUUAACUCAAAGACUUUCAAACAACAAAUUAUGACCCACGGGCAAGAGUUGACACUACUAUAUUUUUCUUUAUUUAUGAUAUGUUCUACAAUUCUCGCCUUAGAGGCACAACUUAUCCCAAGAUUUUUCAAACAAGUUACACAUAUUGGGCAAGAGUCAACACUAACACGUUGUGUUUUUUACUUAUGAAAUGCUCUAUAAAUCUUGUCUUAGAGGUCAGAAUCAACCUAAGGACCAUCAAACAAUAGGUUAUUCUCUCUGAGCAAAAGUUGACACCACCAAAUUGUGUAUUGAUUUAUGAGAUAUUUUAUAACUCUUCCCUUAAAGGCUAGACUUAGACCCAGGACUUUUAAGUAACAAGUUGUGCCUCAUGGUAAAGAGUGACAUUACCACAUUGUAUUUUAAUUUAUGAGAUAUUUUAUAACUCUUGUCUUAGAGGAAAGACUUAACAUAAGGACUUUCAAAUAACAAGUUACGCCCUAUUGGUAAGAGUUGACACUAUCACAUUAUGUUUUGAUUUAUGAAAUAUUUUAUAACUCUUGAUUUAAAGGCAAGAUUUAGCCUAAGGACCUUUAAACAACAAAUUAUGCUCCACAAAUAAGAUUUGACACUACCACAUUGUGUCUUGAUUUAUGAGACUUUUUAUAAAUCAAGGACUUUUAAACAAGUUAUGCCCUAUGGGUAAGAGUUGACACUACCACAUUAUGUCUUGAUUUGUGAGUUAUUCUAUAAAUCUUGCUUUAGAGGCUCGAAUUAGUCCAAGGACUUUCAAACAACAAGUUGCGUCCCAUGGGUAAGAGUUGACACUACCACACCAUGUUUUGAUUUAUAAGAUAUUCUAUAACUCUUGCCUUAGAGGCAAUACUUAGCCGACAAACUAUGCCCCAUGGAUAAGAGUUGAUAUUAUCAUAUUGUGUCUUUAUUUAUAUGAUGCUCUAUUAGUUUUUCCUCUAAGACAAAACUUAGCUCAAGAACCUCCCAAAAGAACCAGUUACGUCUAAUGGGCAAGCAUUGACACUACCAUGUUGUUUUUUGAUUUAUGAGAUGUUGUAUAACUCUUGCCUUAAAAGUAAGACUUAACUCAAGGAUUUUCAAACAACAAGUUAUGCUCCACAAGCAAGACUUGACACUACCACAUUGUGCCUUUAUUUAUGAGUUGUUCUAUAAUUUUUGCCUCAGAAUCAAAAUUUACCCUAAAGAACUUCCUAACAACAAUUCAUGCCCUUAAAUUUGAUUUGAUGUUAAAAAAAGAUCCCUUUGCGGAUUAUACAAUUUUUUAUUUAUGAACAAAAUAUAAUAUAAGUUGAGAAAAAUAAAAAAAGAUCAAACAAAAUAGAGAAAUAAAAAAAAUUGAGAGAAAAAAGACAAGAAAAAAAACAAGAUUAAGAAAAAAAAAUGAAGAAUUAAAAAAAUUGAGAAAAAUUAAAAAUAAAGUUUGAGAAAAAUGAGGGGAAAAAAUGAGAAAUGAUAAAAAUCAAAAAUAAAGGUUGAGACAAAUGAAUUAAAAAAGGCAAAAAAUGAAAUGAAGAAAUAGAUAAUAUUUGAGAAAAAGGAAAAAAGAGAAAAAAAUAAAGUCAGAACAAAUGAAUUAAAAUAUGAAAAUAAAAUUAAAGAAAAAUAAAAAAGUAAAUUUAUAAAAAUAAAAAUAGAAUUUGAGAUACAAAUGAGAAUGGAAAGUUUAAAAAUAUUUGAGAUGUAGAGAGGCAAAAUUAUACUUGUACUAUACUUUAAAAGGAAGGAAGGCUAGUCUUUAAAACUUUUCUUAGUGGAAUCAAAAAUUUAAAGCCACCCAAGUGGGGCUAUAUCAUGUAAUUUUUUGCUUCAUCACCCCCUCUACCCAGAUGCCUCCAUACAUUUUUCACGUUACCCCAUAACAGAAUACACCCACAGAAUAGAGAAGAGAAAUGACAUAAAAUCACUCUUGAACUUGUCCGCCUUUUGCAAGAAGAUACUUAAACUUUGCGGGUGUCCUAUUAUCCCACAAAAUUAGUUAAGACCAUUAUAAAUACCCUUUUUUAGCUGACUUGGUGUAGAGAGUGUAGUUCACUCUCUAAUAGCGCGUGAGAUAAAACAAAAAAUAUUUUUUUUAUUUUUUCAUAUUUAUUUCAUUAAAAAUACUUUUUUUUUUUUACUUUAUUUUAAUUUAAAUUACUUUUCUAUUCUUAUUUUCACCUUUUAUCUUCUUCAUCUCUAUGACCUCCCAAAUAUUUUCUUCAUUUCAAUAUUUUCAACAGCUUCUUACUUUUCUUUUUUCCCCUCUUUAUCUUAUUUCUUUCUCUAUUUGUUCAAGUUUUUUUCUCCUUGAUUGUUCUCAAUACCUUAUUAUUCUUCUGUUUAUUAGUUUCUAUUUUGAUUUUUUUAUGAGGUUAUUUGGUUAAAUAUACCACAAAGCACAAUUUUCAAUUCAUCAUAACUGCAAUGGUUUAAUUUUUAAAUCGCAAGCCCAUUUUAAAAGUAGUGGCCGGUGAAAUAUUUAGAGCAACAGUGGACUUAUCGAAGUAGUGAUUUCGUGUAAAUUAUUGUUGGAAAAGUUUGAUCUUGAAUUGAAGAAUGAUUAUUGAGUUUUGGUCCAAUUAUGACUUGUUCAGGAUCAAGAAAACAUAUGGGUGAUACAAUUUUGGGCUAUUUUUUAUUUUGGUGGUGAUAUUUUUAUUUCUCAAGCUUUCUAUUAUGAUGAAUAACGACAUUUAAGAUGUAUGGAGGGAGACGGGAAGAGGAAUUGCGUGGAAUAAUGAAGAGGGUUUAAGUUUAAGCUAAAAUGAAGGAUCGAGAAAAAGAUAAUGAAAUAAAGUGAGAAAAAAAAUCAAUUGGACAUGUGGCAGACAAUGAUUGAUGUGUGUUGUACCCAUUUCUUCUUAUACAUGGGAUUGAGUCAAAUAGGUUGCAUUUAUAAUUUUCUUAACUAGCUAUCGAAGGCCCGUACCAGCACGGGCCAAAUAUAUGUUAUAUUUAGUCUCAAUUUAUGUGACACAAAUAUAAUUUAUAUAAUCAAUUUAUUUUUAAGAUGCCUUAGUUAUUUUAAGUUGUUAACUAUCGUAAUUUAUAAGAUGUUUACUUAAUUUUCAAAUAAUACAUAUUACUCUCCUUGUUCAAACUUUUGUAACAUUGAUAGUCAAUUAUAUUUUUAAAAUAAUUUAGUGUUUUUAUUAUUGAGAUUUAUAAUGCCUCUUCUCUCUUCCUAUUUAAGUCACACUGAUAUAAUUUUGACAGUCAAUCAAAUAUUUUAUAUAUUUAAAAAAUUUUAAGCUGUUAAUUAUUGUGUUUUAUUGUACUUUUUUAUUUUUUAUUUGAAAUAUAUAAUAGAUUAAUUUUUUUAAAAGAUAUUUUAAGCUAUUAACUAUUGUAAUUAUAGUACUUUUUAUGUAAUUUUCAAAUAAUACAUGUUACUCUUCUUGUCCAAACUUUUGUGGCAUUGAUAGUCAAUUAUACUUUUAGUUAUUUCAAUUUAAGUUACACUGAUAUAAUUUUGAGAGACAACUAAAUGUUUUAGAUCUUUUGAAUUUUUUAAGUUGUUAAUUAUUGUGAUCUAUACUAUUUUUUUAAUAUAUAACAGAUUAAUUUUUCUAGAUAUUUUAAGUUGUUAAAUAUUAUAAUUUAUAAUACUUGUUAUGUACUUUUCAAAUGAUACAUGUUACUCUCCUUGUCCAAGUUUUUGUGGCAUUGAUAGUCAAUUAUAUUUUAAAAAUAAUUUAAAUUUUUAAUUGUUGUAUUUAUAAUACUCUUUCUUCUAUUUCACUAUGAAAUGAUACUGAUAUAACUUCGAGAGUCAGCCAAAUAUUUUAUAUCUUUAAAAAAUUUUAAGUUAUUAAGCAUUAUGAUUUAUAGGAAAUUUUUUGUGCUUUUGUUGAAAUAUAUACCAGACAAACAAAAUAAGACAAACAAAUUUAAAUUGACGAAAAAAAUGAAAGUAGGGGAAAGGACCAAUGAAGUUAUGCCAAAGCAAACAGAUUGACCAUUAAAUUUGUAAAGUUGUUAAUUAUUGUGAUUUGUAGUAAUUUUUUAAAAUAUAUAAUAGAGUAAAUUUUUUUUUAGAUAUUUUAAACAGUUAACUAUUGUAAUUUAUAAUAUUUUUUUAUGUAAUUUCCAAAUAAUAUAAGUUACUUUUCUUAUUCAAAAUUGUGUAUCAUUGAUAGUCAAUUAUAUUUUUUAAAUAAUUUAAAUUUUUAAUUGUUGUGAUUUAUAAUAUUUUUUCUCCUAUUUGUAUUUAAAUGACACAAUGUUUAAAUGGCCGUAAUAAUUAAUUAGGAGUGAUAUAGUAAAAUCAUAAUUGAAGCAGCGAAGCAGACAUGUCUUAAAUAACUUGUAAUAACUAGUUAAAAGUUUUAUGACAAAAUUAUUAUAAAAAAUACUUGUGAAAAAAAUUAAGUGAAUCAGAUAUAAGACGUCAAGUUAAUUUAAUAUUAAAUAUUAUUAAUUUUUUAAUACUUAAAUGACUUUAUAAUAACUUUUUAAUACUUAUAUGACUUAUAAUAAUUAAUUAGGGGUGAUAUAGUAAAAUUACAGUUGAAGCAGCUAAAGCCGACAUAUCAUAAAUGUCUAUUUUAUUUUCUUUAUUAAAUAUCAUUAAUUUUUAAUUUAAAUAACAUAUAAUAAUUAAUUAGAAGUGAUAUAAUAAAAUCAAGGAGCAAGCAGCUGAAUUGGUUGGCAAGGAGAAUGACGGAAACCUCCUCUCAACUGCCUCUAAUACAUAAGUAAAAAGAUAUAAAUAUAAGAAAUAUAAAUUUUUAAUACGUAAAUGACUUAUAAUAAUUAAUUAGGGAUAUAUAGUAAAAUCACGAUUGAAACAGAUGAAGCAGGUAGCACAAGCGGGCAUGUCGACCUGCUGCCUGCUUAUUCCCUCUUAUUAUUAGUAGUAAAAGUAAAUAUUCUUAAAUUGUUAAGGGGACAAUAGUACACCUGCAAAGUUAUCGUGUAUUUUUGAAAAUGUGGGAUAACUUGAAUGGUGUAUUUAUGUCUUUUCUCAGUAGAGAAAUAACAGUUUUGAGGGGAAUCUGUUUUCCCAUGACCAUUCCAUCACUCACACCGGAUAAUAUAGACACACUCACAUGCACAUAGAGAAGGGGUACUCUUUCUCUGCUCUCUAUACAUACACCCAACAUCGGAAAAACACGAGACUCUUUGUUAAAUAGACCCUUUAAGUUUAUUUUUUAAUUAAAUGGACCAUAAGAUUUUUUAUUUAGGGAGAUGACCUAUUUUUUGAGACAGAUCUAUUAUAUGUCCGACAGAUAUAUAGAUAGAUUGAUUAUCAAUUCGACAGAUCUACUAUUUGUCCGACAGAUAUAUAGACAGAUCGAUUAUCAAUCCGACAACUGAGAAAAUAGAAGUAGGUCAUUUUGCUAAUUGAAAAUUUGAAAAGGGUAGCCAUUUUGCUAAUUGAAAACAUUAAGAGGCUUAAUAGCCAAAUUUUCUCAAAAACACACACACAUACACCAUACACCCAUACAUCAAAAUGGGAGAAUCUAAAAAAUAGACCAAAAUCAGGGUGGCUUUCAAAUUUUAGCUCCAAAUAAAAAAGCUUCCUUAAAAUAACCUUUACCUAUUAACUUAUAUUUUUUGGAUGAAAAUACCCCUCAAUAUAUUCACUUUUAAUCUCUUUCUUCGAAAACAAAACAAUCGACUUUCUUCCAAAACAACACGAUCGAUCUCUCUUUCUUCCAAAACAAAACAAUUGAUUUUUAAACAAAUUCCCUGCUGUAAGAUUUCUUCCAGGUAAGAACUUCAUCAUCAAAAUUAUCUAAUUCUUUGGGGAGUGGAUGGGUGGAUUUUAGCUCUGUGAAAACAAAAUUCAGAUUUAAUUUACAACAAACUUAUGCAUUGUUAAAGCACACAUCUAAUUUACAGUAAAUUUUAGCUUAUUGAUGCAUUGCAAUAAAAGUUUAGCUCGUUAUAUAAUUAGCAUAUUGAUUUAAUUUUUUGGAAGGUGAACGUAAGCUAAAGUUAGGCUAUGUUGUUGUUGUAGUAACAUGUUUUCCAUUGAGGAAUUGUGUCGAAUUGGUUGUGGGGAGUUUGUUAUUGCAGUUAUAAUUGUGUUUGAGUGGUUGAGGGGGUUUGGUCUUGGAGGGAAAGACCGUUAAUAUGAGAUUUAACAUUGAUCAUAAUAUUUUUUGGAAGGUCAAAUGUAUAAGGUCAAGGUGGUACAAAAAAUUAGUUCCAAGUAUUUAAACUAGUAGUAUAAUUAGCAUUAGAAGAUGAUGAUGAAUUGUGUUGAACAGGUUCUGGGGAGUUUGUUAUUUCGAUUAUACUUGUGUUUGAGUAGUUGUGGGGGUUUGAUCCUGGAGAGAAAGGCCGUUAAUAUGGGAGUUAACGUUGAUUGCAAUUAUUUUUGGGAAGGCCAAACGUAAAAGAUCAAGGUGGUACAAAAAAUUAGUUCCAAGUAUUUCAAACUAAUGGUAUAAUUAGCAUUAGAAGAUGAUGAGGAAUUGUGUCGAACAGGUUGUGGGGAGUUUAUUAUUGUGGUUAUAAACUGUUGCUCUAUCUACUACAGAAGCUGAGCUUAUUGCUACCGUUGAAGCUUGUAAAGAAUUGCUUUGGAUGAAGAGAUUCUUGAGGGAAAUUGGUUGUGCUCAAGAGAGGUAUGUGCUUCAUUACGACAGUCAAAGUGCCAUACAUCUUGGCAAGAAUUUUACAUUUCAUGGUCGGUCUAAACACAUUGAUGUGAGAUACCAUUGGAUUCGGGAUGUGUUGGAUUCUAAGUUGCUUGAACUUGAGAAGAUUCAUACGGAUGAUAAUGGUUCCGACAUGAUGACUAAAGCGUUGCCAAGAGGGAAGUUUGAAGAUUAUUGCAUGAUCGCCGGGAUGGCGGUCUCCUCCACAUAGUCGGGAGGGGGAGAAUUGUUAGGUCAUGGGCCUUUAUCCCUUCCUAUGUGGAUAAAAUGAAGCCCAAUUUGGACCAACCCACUUUUUUCCAUAGGCCCAUUACUAUGGGGCAUAUAUAUUGAUAUUUUUAGGUCUUAUUCCCCAUCACAAAAAGAGAGUUUUCAGCAACCAAAGAGAGAAAAACAAAGCUGAUUUUCGCACCUAAAUUUCAGCCACGGGUGUCAACUUCAAAUUGUGAUUAUCACUUCAUUUCUUGUCCGAUUGAACUGAUUUUUAGACUGCUUGCUCCUCUCAUCUCAAUCUUUGAUUAGGAACUAACAGAUCUUGAUUUAGUGGCCUGUAGCUCCUGUUCUUCAUUCCCGAACAGUAGCUACAUUUUUUGUGCUUUUCACGCCUUUAUUUCUCUAGUGUUUGGUGCUGUGGAUUAUGUAUUAUUUCUUGUUGUUUGGCACUUUUUUGGUGGCCAUUUUAGAGGACAAUAUUGUAACUCUUUUUUGAUUAUAGUGGAGGUUUUGGUCCUGUGGUUUUUCACUCUUCACACUGAAGGGUUUUCUACGUAAAUCUUGUGUCUUAUGUGAUUGCCUUUAUUCUUGUCUUGUUUUAUUUGGUUGAGUUGUUUGUUCUACAUUAUUCUAUUUUGCUUGGGUUUAUUUGUCUCCUCUUAGUUCAAGUUAAAAGGGAAUGUUUAGUCUUGGGUAUUUUCUGCUGCUACCCUGUCGGGCUCUUUGAUUGUAUGCUUGUCUUUCCUUACAAGUGGUAUUAGAGAGGGGUUAAAAUUGGGUGUUCAUCUUGGCAGAUUCAGUUCUAGUCGCAACCUAUUUGACGAUAAUGUAGAUUUUAGUUUGAGAAAUUUUAUCAGAGUGUUAUUCUGUGUAGAAUCAAGAAUUAAUGAAAGAAAUUUUGGAGAUGGAAAUUAAACUUAUUGAAGACUACAUGAAGAAGGUGGAGUAAGUUUAUCGGGAAGGUCCUUCUCAAACUCCUCCAAAUAUGACUCUGCCUCCUGAUGCUCGACAAAAAGGACCUAUGCUUCCAACGUCAGAAGGAGUUGAUCAGAAAGGUCAUUUUGCUCAUAUUUCUCAGAAUGCGCCUUUUGUGUACACAUUUGAUCAUCCAAAGGUUCAGAACACACCCUUGCCACACUAUGCUCCACCAGUGUACACCUAUGCUACUACCCCAUCGGUAACACAAACUCAAGGGUUAUACCGCUUAGAUGUUAAUCAUUAUGUUGAAACAGAGAAUGAUCCAAGAAUGUACACUGAUGAGACGGUGAACAGAAAGCUCAAGGCCUUGGAAGAUGCAAUGAAGAGUCUUCGGGGGCUUAGGAAUAACCAAAGUGUGAGGUAUGAAGAGUUGUGUGCAUUUCUCGAGAUUGAGUUGCCUCCUAGUUAUAAGAUCUCAAAGUUUGAAAAGUUUGAUGGGUCCGAAAUCCUUUCUUUCACUUGAAAACUUAUUGUGAAAAUCUGAUUGGUGUGGCCAAGAAUGAAGAAAUACGGGUCAAGCUAUUUAGUCAAAGUUUGAGUGGAAAGGCUCUAGAAUGGUAUGCCAAGCAAUAUGUGACUAAGUGGUGCAUUUGGGAUGACCUAGCAAAUGCUUUUGUGGAGCACUACAACUUUCAUGUCGACAUUAUUCCUGACAGGAUCUCUAUCACAAAGCUAAGACAGAGGUCAAAUGAGAAUUUUCAUGAAUAUGUCAAUGCUGGAGAGAAGAAGAGACUAGGGUACAUCCCCCUAUAGAAGAAGCUGAAAUGAUCAGUUACUUCAUCCAUGCACUAAAUUCAGAAUAUUUUGAUCGCAUGGUAACAAUGGUUGGAAAAACAUUUAUUGAAAUUGUCAAGACUGGAGAAAUGAUUGAGGAUAGCCUCAAGACAGGAAUGAUAAUAAAUUUGACAGAACUACAGUCCACUCAUAAAGGCUUCCAGACUGGAUUUUUUGGAAAUAGGAAGAAAAAAAAAAGGAAGUAAUGAGAGUAAUGACUCAAGAAAAUUCUACCAAUUACAAGCAACUUCCUCGAUAUCAACCAAAUGCUCGACAUGCUCACUAUCCGGUCUUCAAUGCACAAGCGACAUAUCACGCUCAACCUCUACCAUAAAACUAUCAAAAUAAUGCUCCUCGUGCCAAUCCUGAAAGAAAGCCUCCUAAAAUUUUCACAUCGCUGGCAAAAUCUCUUACUCAGCUUUUUGAAAGAUUAAAAGACACAAAACUACUUCAUCCGGUGGAAGCAAAGCCUGUGAACACCUGUGCUAAUUGGUACGAUUGAAACAAGCGAUGUGCUUACCACUCUGGAGCUGUUGGACAUGAUACAGAAAAUUAUAUCACUCUCAAGCACAAAAUUCAGGAUUUGAUAGACAACAAGGUGAUAACGCUUGAAGAAGCUCCAGCUAAUGUUAACAACAAUCCAUUGCCCAAUCACAAGAAGUAGUCAUUGACACCAUCAAGCAACAGGCGUACUUUUGGCGUCCUUCUAUCUUGUAUUUGAAAGUUAUUAUUUUCUUUUUUUGUAAUCGUACUUCCUCAUUUCAUUUUCUUAUAAUUGCAUUCUGUUGCUUUAUUUUCUUGUAAUCGUACUUUAUGAUUUGAUUUUUUUUAAUCGCGCCCUUUUAGCUGUAAUAAACUAUGUUCGACCUGAUUUCCCUUGUGGAAUACGUAGGCGGCUUAUAUUGACUUCGAUCACAUUAUCAAAAGUAUCAAAUAUCCCUUUUAUUUGUAUGAACUACGUUUGACCUGAAUUCCUAAAAAGGGAUACGUAGGCGGCUUAUGUCGGCUUCGGUCAACCCCUUAUAAAACUGAUGUUUUCAUUGUAUGUAUGAACUACGUUUAACCUGAAUUUUCAAGAAUGGGAUACAUAGGCGGCCUAUGUCGGCUUCGGUCAAUUCCUUAGAAGAAUUUUCUUUUUAUUUAAUGUUGGAACUACCUUUCCUACCUCAAUGAAAUGCGUAGGUGACACACUAGCUCGAUCAUAUUUUUCAUAAUAUUUUCAUAAAAACUACGAUAAAAUUUUUUAUAAGGUCUCAAAAAUUCAUCAAAGGAUCUUUUUACAAGUUGAAUGAAGAUGACACUGAAGCAUGUAACUGGGGCAGAAAAUUUUGAGAAGGUCUCAAAAGUUUCACAAAAAUUGACAUCUUCUACAAAGUUGAAAAUCAGAUAUUGCUGAAGCUGAACUUGGAGCAUAACUUUCGAAGUUCUCUAUGCUUAAAGUACUCUAAGUCAGAAAUAAUUCAAGUGUUUUGCAUUUUGGACUGGGACAGAAUUUUUGAGAAGAUCUAAAAAAUUCCAUACUACAUAAGUUAUAAGAAAGUUUGGGAGUCAUGUUAUAGACCGGUACAGAAUUUUUAAGGAGGACCCUCAAAAAUUUUACAGAAGUUGUAUUGUAAGAUUAGAAAAGUUUGCAAAUCAAUGAUCAACAAGGUGUACCGGAAGAGCAAGACAAUACCAACACAGCCAGUCUCUCAAAAUUAAGAAUUUUUCUUUGGAUGCAGGAACAGUGAAGUCAGAAAGUUGACAACGUUAAGCAUGACACAUGACAUUGUCAGACCCACUGUGGCCUUGCCAUAAUAAUCCAGAUAAUUUCUCUCCUCUUUUUUUCUCUUGAUUUAUGUUUCUAUUACCUUGUCAUGAUCUCCAAUACUUUCUUUGAUUUUAUAGAAAAAUGAUCGGACAUAACGGCGAAAAUGUGGAGAUAUUAUCCGAACUAUCUCUAAAUCAUCAUGAGUCAAACAACUUCACCUUUAUCUUUAAACACGGCCCUUUUGUUACACUCAUAACAAAUUUUUGUAUUACUAAUGAGUGUUGUUCAAGUUGUACAGGUGACAUUUCGCCGAAUAACCUCUAAGAAAUAAUGCGAAAGUGUCUUCUCAAAGUUUGAGGAUCCAAUCCAGAAUCUCAGGAUAUGCACAAGUCCUUUGAAAGAACCCUCAUUCAAAGGAUGUAGUUCAACAAAUCAACUUCUAUCUUUUCUUAUAUGUUUGGGUUUUCUACCCUUCAAGAGAACUACUGGAUCGUUAUUUCAUUCAAGAGUGACAUCUCAUUAUGUUAUGGAUCGUCACCUCCUUCAGAGUGACUUAUGAUUGUGUUAUGGAUCGUCACCUCCUUCAGAGUGACAUAUGAUUGUGUUAUGGAUCGUCACAUCCGUCAGAGUAACAUACUUUUAUGGACUAUUACCCCAUUCAACGUCAUAUUAUAUGAAUUUUAACCUACUUCAAUAUGGCAUACUAAAAUAAGAUAUGCACGAUUGCCCUUAUAUUGUAUUUGCUACUAAUAAGUUUAGUGCACGUGAUUAUGAGACACGUUGGAUCGUCACUUCGUUCAAAGUGGCAUGCUAUAUUCAAAAUGGGUCGUCCGCCCUUCAAUGAGACAUGUUGGACCGUCACUCCGUUGAAAGUGGCAUGUUACAUUUUAAAUGGGUCGUCCUCCCUUCAAUGAGACACGUUGGACCGUCACUCCGUUCAAAAUUGCAUGUUAUAUUCAAAAUGGGUCAUCCGUCCUUCAAUAAGACAUGUUGGACCGUCAUUUUGUUCAAAGUGGCAUGUUACGUUUUAAAUGGGUUGUCCUCCCUUCAAUGAGACACGUUGGACCAUCACUCCGUUCAAAGUGGCAUGUUAUAUUCAAAAUGAGUUGUCUGCCCUUUGAUGAGACAUGUUGUACUGUCACUCCAUUCAAAGUGGCAUGUUUCAUUUAAAAUAAGUCUUUCGCCCUUCAACGAGACACGUGGGAUCAUCACUCCGUUCAAAGUGGCAUGUUACAUUCAAGAUAAAUCAUUCGCUUUUUGCUGGUGCAUAUUGGGUUGUUAUAUUUUCAUAACAGAUUCGACUAUCUCAGCAUGGCGUGUUCAAACAGGUUUGCACCAAUUUAUGUUUGGAUAAUGCUACAUUUGCAACUAACUAUUUUAUUUGAGAUGUUGUCGAGAGCAUCCAAAAGGAUGAAAUUCUCAAUUCAAAACCACAGGUGUGGACGACUCCAAAUAGGACGCAGCACAACGUGAAAUUUUUUCUUAGCAGCGAACUAGGACAUAGUCUGAAGAGGAAUAUCAAACUCUUUUGGCACGAGCUAAAAAACGACUUUCACCAUCAUCAAAUAACACCCCUAUCAUAGACAUGUGGGUAUUUUGAGAUAUUUUUUGUUUCAGUUUCACGUCUGGGCAAUUCUAAACUCUCACCAGAGGUAGUCUUCAUCUUUUUUUGAAAAUAAGGUGACAACACGCCUAGAGCUUUAGAAAUUAUGUCAAUGUAGCUCUCAGUUGAGGGUGUAAAGGGCCCAACAUUCGUGAUUAAGAUAAAUGCAAGCCUCUUUUCCAUAACUCGAUACAUUUUGUCACUCAUCAUCCGCUAUUUUUUCUAUCGAUCGAGUCGAACUACAGACAGUCUGAUUUCCCGAGUCUUGGAGAUAUGUAGGAUGAGCUUUAUGUAGAAAAAUCGACUGGAUUCCAACCUCCCCCCCCCCCAAAUCCUCUUAUUUCAUAGCUUUUUGGUUUCACCAAAAUUUAAAACUCGGAAUAGCUCGUGAUUUCUUUGAAAAUUGUGCUUUAAAAUCAAGCUUUAUGAACUACAAGUGACCUGAAUUCUCAUGUAACCUGAGAUAUGUAGGAAAUCCGAUAUCAGGGUCCGGCCGUAACUCCGCAAAAAUAAUCAUGCGAAAAACCAAUCUCAUUUAAGAGACGAAUUUGUGGUCGGAGAAAAUUAGGAACGCCAAGUCCCUUUGUCUAGAGUUACUUGAAUCCACUCUAAUCUCAAUUUUAAAUAUUUAUUUUAAGUUAUUUUGAAAUAAAUUUCAACCCUACCUUUUGAAUUUAGGUGAAAUUAAUAUAUUUAGUGUUUAGGAAACAGCCUUGAGCCGGGGGUCUUUCGGAAACAGCCUUUCUACUUCAUCAGAGGUAGAGGUAUGGACUGCGUACAUCUUACCCCCCCAGACCCCACUAAGUGGAAAUACACUGGGUUUGUUGUUAUUGUUGUUGUUGAGUGUUUAAUUGUACAUGAUUAUACAAUUACUAGUUAAAGAAAAUGCUUUAGAAUUUAUUCAGAAUGAAAAUUUGAUUAAAUUGCAAAUAUUCUACUUUUCUCAAGAUUGAUUGAAAAUAAGAAAUUGAUGGCAUAAUUAAUUUCUUAAUUUUUAUUUAUUAUUAUUAUUAUUAUUAUUAUUAUUAUUAUUAUUAUUAUUGGAAAAAAAAAUCAAAUUGCGUUUCAUUAAAAAUUUAUUUUAAAAUUAUUAAAAUUGAGAAAUUCGUUUAAAUUAAAUAAAAGAUUUUAUCUGGACUUUAUUCGAAUUUAUCCAAUUAUGCCUAUUUCAUUAUUACAAAAUAACCAUUCCUAUUUUUUUGGGGGCGAGCCAUUCAGCCAGCCCAUUUCCCCUUCCAUUUUCCAGCAACCCCCAGGCCCAAAUAACACACCAUCCCAGCCCCCACAAUUUAAUAGCAGCCCAUUUUCUUAACCCACAACCAGCCCAAACAAAAAUUAACCAAACAGACCAGCGGCCCAAAUACCCCUGACCCGCCAGCCCAGCAACUACAACACCAGCCCUUUUCCCUUUCCUUUCCCCUAAUAUCCGCAAAUAACAACAGCUCCCAGCCAUCAUCAACUUCAGAAAAAUCAACAAUUACACCGACACCAACAGCACGCGACAACAUUAUCAACAGCUACAUCAAUCCGUAUCAGCAACAUCAAUGACACCCAUAAUUUCAACACAACAACAGUAAAACAAUUUUGAAAUUCAAAUCUUAACUAGUUUUUCCUUCUUUACCCUUCUGAUUUCCCCCAAAACGACCCUAAAUUCUUCUAUAAAUAUCCACAUAUGUAGAGUGAUGGACGAAGGGCUUUUCGGGGAAAAUUUUGGAGAUUUUGGAGGCGCACGCUUCUGAUCUCACGUAACCGAAAAUCUUCGAAGAACACUCAAAGAAAAGAAUCAAAUUCGACGAUUUGUUGGAAUUUCAGUGAUCGGAAUUGGGUCUCGGUGGUGGAAAUCGCAACGUGAUAAGCUUGUUGUUCCGUUCGCUGCCCGAAAAUAGGUAAUACUCUUUAUUCUGUUUGAUAAUCUGCUUUCCUUACCUAUGUACUGGGCGUUUUUUUUCUUCGAGUUUGCUCACAUGAACAUCAUGCGUUUGCUUCGACGUGGCUUAAUGUUGUAUAUGUGAGUUUAAUGUGGUAUAUGAGAUUAUUAACACAUGAAGUGCUCUAUAUUUUAAUCAAACUAAAAUUUACGGUCGUUUGAAAGUUGUGGCUUAAUAUUGUAUAUGUGAGCCUAAUGUUGUUAUAUGGGUGAAAGGAUAUGAACUGAAUGGACGAAUUUCUUCAUUAGAAACCAUGGCAGAGUAAUUCAAUUGCGAAUCUGUUGAGAUUUUUAUGGUGUUUUGGUGUAUUAAAAUUAGGGAAUUAUUUAGUAAGUAAUUAAGCCUAAUGAUGUAUGUUAAUGGCUUGACGAUGCAGUAAAGAUUAGCAUUAGAUAAUGCUUCAUGUAUGUCUCCAAAUAUACAAAAGGAAAUAUUUCAGUUACUUGCAUAUUAUUUCAUGAGUUGAUCUUUAUUCUUCUUUAGCUUAAUUCAUUUUGUUGUAUAGCCAUGUGUCUAGUCCUACAAACCAUAUAGCUUGUCAUCGUGCUAAAAGGUGCUCUUGCAAAGGCAUAAUUUUAUUUUUUUAACAUCAUUCCCGAUCCAUUACACAGAGAGGAUUUAGCAUUAGCUAGGAUCCAUUAUGUUGACGUAAAAUCACUUAUAGAGAGAUAUUAAACUAGUAAUUAAACCAUAUACCACGUGAGAAACUAUUUUUGUUUUUCCAACGUAUAUCACACUGCCAUACACUAAUGUACCAGAAAAAAGUAUACAUAUAUAUUUGAUAUGGUUGGAAAAAACUUGAUAAAACUGGAAAUUUUGACAUUACAUUGGUCUGGAAAAGUUUAUUGGAUAGAGCUAUGUAAAGUUAAGUAUAAUUUCUUUGUUUUUUGAUUAAAGAUUUCAUACGGAGGCAAAUUCUUGAUGAUUAAAAUAAAUUAAGUAAUCUAGAAAGUGAUUGCAAGUAUAUGGGUGUCAUUAGAUUUGUAUUCUUAUGGAGGUUAUGACUUUACCAAUAUUUUUCUAUCUUUUUUUUUUUUUUUAAAAGAUGCAUUAGUGUUAGUGAUUACUUUACCAUGUACUUGAUUUAUAGUUUUGGUCAUGAACCACAGUUUAGGUAUGUAGUUUGGGUGGAAAUAGAGUUCUUAAGUCAUUGUAGUCUUUUGUUGAAUUGAUUAAGUCGUAUUGGUACUGGAAAACUAUAAAUCAGGUACAUGGGGAAGUAAUAACCUUUUUGAUCUGAGAUGUUUGGCAGGUUGUGUUUGUGAAUGAUGAGUUAUUUGUUUUAUUUUUUCCUCCUUUUUCUAAGACCGACCCUUGGAACGGAUAAGUUCUAAAGAACUUGAGAUUUCCCAGAUUUAAUUUUACCCUUAAACACGACGUUCAUUCUUUUAUUUUGAUGAUUUUGACGUUUGAGUGCCACUGCAUCAUGUGAUUUUCCCUCUUAACUUAACUCUUCAAUAAUCUCGCGGGGCUUGAAAUAGAAUUAGAUUACUACUAACUGAAUUUUGUGGGUAGCGAAUUUAUUUCCUUGUCUUUUAUUGUAUGAGUUGGCACUAAUUUCGUUCAUUUCUUUUAUGCAUGAACACUCCUUCGUCGAGUCCCUUGGACUCCCAUCCCUCGCAUUCUGUUGGGUUAAACCCAACUUGCAUCGAGUCAAGACCCGCACCAAGUUCGAAGUGGACUAAUACAUGAAGUAAAAUGGACUGAUACAAAGCUGUACACACAAAUAUACAGCGGUAUACUGAGGAUAUUCGACUGGAAAUGAAAAAAGGAAACUAGUGUGCAGGUGGAAGACUAAAAUAUCAGCAUAUGUGGCUGAUAUACGGUCUGAUAUACACUAUAUAUACACAAAAACGUGGGAAAAAGGAGCUGUAGUAUACAGAUGAUAUGUACAUUGAAAUAAUGGACUGAAAUUCAUGAGAUUUAGGCCCAAAAUCUGGGCAAGCCCAUAAAUGGGCCUAAAGGACCCAAUUCUAACUCUUCCUUUAUUUCCUCUUCUUAUUUAUUUGUAUUUAUUUGAACACCCUAACUAAUUAAUUUAGAUAAAUCAUCUACGUCGUUAUAAUUUUAUUUUAUCACGUAUUUUAGUCGAUUCGUGAUUUUCUCACCUAAUGUAUCUAGUCUAAAUGAAUUAAAAUGGUUACUUUCGAUUUUUCUUCCGAAAACUAAGCUUAAAAGAAAUUGUCAAGUAUUUUAUUAAAAAUAGCAUUUGUUUUGUUCAUAUAAAUAAAUAGUCUAUUUGAAUUAAAAUAACUUCCUUUAAAUUGAAGAAAUUAAAUUUUUUUAUAGAUUUCAAUUUUUCAUAAUUAAUAAAGGUUUUUAAUUUAACACUCUCUUAACAUUUUUUACGGCGCUUAAUAAUAAGAAAAUAGUUCCAUAAUUUUCUUCUUUUACAAAAUAAAAAUCCAUUUUCCCUUUAAGUUUGAAAAACUAUAGCUUAGUUUAAUUCAAAUAGAAUUUUUCUCUUUUGAAUAAAUAAAUGUCAUUUUUCAAUGAAUGUUUUUAAUAUUUUUAUUUUAUAUAAAAUCAAGUCUUUACAAAAUUAGCCACUUUUGGUUAGUUAAGUUAGUUCCUUUGGUAAACUGUUUUAAAUGAACGCUCCUAAGUGACUUAAAAAUCUUCUUAGGGCGUUAAUUGAACCCUUACCCAGAAUUUCUAGUUUUUAAGUUGAAGGUUUGUUUCUAUUUUUGAACCGUUGAAAUUCUUUUAAAAAAAUUUCUUGAACGCUCCUAAGUGCCUUAAAAAUCUUCUUGGGGCGUUAAUUGAACCCUUACUCAGAAUCUCUAGUUUUUAAGGUUUAUUUCUGUUUUUGAACCGUUGAAACUCUUUUUAAAAAAAAAAUUCUUGAUUUUUUUCUAUAAAAAUCAAGUGGCGACUCUGUAAAUUUUCUUAAAAUUAUUUCAAAGUUUUUUCUAACUCUUUUUGAAAUAGUUUUAAGAUCAAAAUUACUUUUCUCGCCAAAAUGAAACCCGAAAGAGAUAAAACACAAAGCAGCAAAACAUAUGUAGAAGGAUUGAAAUAUUUUUCUUCCAUCUUAAAAAGUUUCUUCCUUAAGCCUCAUCACACCUGUGCUGCCUAGAUUAGUCUUAAAAAGUUCACUCUUAUAACUAAGAAUUUUUUAAAAUUUCUCCAAAUAAUCAUCUAUCAUCUGCAGUAGUACAAUGUUUCUAGCUUUUCUUAUCAUAGUUCUCCCAAGAUACACCUUCAACUUCUUUUUUACUAGAUUUUAUAAUUGAAAAACUCUGAUGUCAAACUCAAAAAUAAUUUUAUCUUUAUAGCUCUACUAAAUAAUUUGAAAUUGAUCACUUUAUUUUUUAUGUGACAGUGCAUGCAUGCACUGAAAUAUAUUUUUUUUCACAACAAAAUUUCAUGUCCUUAAAUCAUGACUAUCAAACUUGUCCAACUCUACAUGUUCUUGAACUACAUAUCUAAUAAUAGCCUUUAUGAAUUUUUUAACAUUUGCAAAAGCUAGAUUAAUUUUUAACUACAUAUCUAAUAAUAGCCUUUAUGAAUUUUUUAACAUUUGCAAAAGCUAGAUUAAUUUUUAAAUAAUUAACUUACAAGUAUGAUCAAACAUAAUUAUUUUUAAUAAUUUUUUUUGCUCUCCUUGCUUUUUUUCACACAUCUUGCAGGUUGUUGAGCCUUAUUCUCAUCAUCAAUAUCUGUUUCAAAACUAGCAUCUUCAUUUGAAUUAAAGUAUGACUCAUCACCACCUAACUUAAUCUUUAGAGUUUUUUUUUUAAUAAAUAUAUAUUAUAUCUCAAAUCAUUUCUUUUUUUUUCCUAAAUUAGCUUUUUUAGCUCUAAAUUCGUUUUUUGUUUUGACAGCUCUCUUUUCUUCGCACAAAAUUCUUACCUCCUCAUGAGUUACUAUCACAUUCAUCAUCAUAUUCAAGCAAAUCUUCAUAAUUUAAAUCCUCACUAUCUUGACUAUCAUUUUUUUCAAUUAGAAUGUAUUAUUGAAACAUCUGCUGCAGUAGCAACAGAAAUUCCACCCCAAUCUUCCUCAAUACUAGCAGAAUUCCCACCCAACUCCUCCACAACAUCAGCAGAAGCUCCAUCUAACUCCUCCCAAAUAGUAGAAGAACCAUCACGUAAUUCAACAGUAGAAGAAACUUCACUAACACCAAUAAUAGGUUGUGCAACUUUUUCAGGUUGCAUAACUUUUUCAAAUCUAAAUUAUACCAAUUAACAAAGGUUUGUGCAGUCUCGUUAUCAAAUGAAGUAUAAGAUUUUUUAUCCACAUGAAUUAUAUAUUUUGGAUGGGGUGAUCAUAAUAGGUCCUUAAAUUAAGUGUGAGACGUACAAUUCAACCACAUUUCCAUUUUUUAAUAAAGACAAAAUAUUUUUAUCACAUGUAACCUUUAUCAAAAUGACUAGACUUAGGAAGUCUAAUAUAAUUAAGACAAGAGGAAAAAUUAUAUUCAAUUUCAUGAGCAUAGCCUACAAACUCAAAGUCAGAAAAUUCAUCAAUAUCUACGUCUAAACAAUCAAUUUCAGUACCUCCGAUGUAUUUAACAUGAGAUUUUUAUUGUAAUAUUAUUCGGUGGUGAAACCUCAAGGUAAUAUGCAUAAAAUUUAUUAUAAAAUUGUAAAAAAAAAAUACGAGCUUUAGUGUAAAUUAAAAAAUCAAACUCUUUAAAAAUUGAUUGGCUAAAAAUUCUAGAUGCAAAAAUAAUGUAAAUGAAAAAAAUACUAACCUCCAUAAUUGGGUAAUUUUAAUAUUUGUCUAGAAAAGCACCUCCACACUUGAUGGAAAACACAUCCAUGAUAGAAUAAUUUAGGAAUUAGGUUUUCUUUUUGGAUCUUUUAGAAUAGGAAAUGAUGAGUAGAUUUAGAUUUAGGGGUACUUGUUAUGACAAAGGGUUGGAUCGGAUUGAG